rnacentral:lncRNA from 1 species
ACCUUUGAGACGUGUGAAAUAGGAGAUUUGCUGUGCAAGAGAGUCAGAUGCUCAGCAGAAGGUGCUUCUGUGUAGUUAUUUCUACCCUCACUUCCAUAGGCCUCCACAUAGCACCAAUCUGGGAUGUCUGUCGUACCGAUCAUUAAUGCGAGAUUACAGGCGGGGUUCCUCACUGCUGCCACAACAAACUUAUCUGGUGCCUGCAGCAUAAAUAUGUUCAACUCUCAGUAUAACUAAAAAAUGAUCGUCUACCAAGUGUGCAUAAGUAAUAGAUGCUUCAAAAAUAAAAUAAAAAAGUUUUUUCAGUACCCCACAAAAAAAAAAAAAAAAAAAAAAAAAAAGCUUAAAGCGAGAAGCCUCAAAGCAACUAAAAAAUAACAGUCAUCCUUUUUACAAAACUACCAGACCUGGCCAAUCAAGUGAGUAGUCAGAAAGCCGCCGUGAGAACCACCAAGAACUGCAAUUUUUGAUGCACUGGCAAGCCCCUUGUCAAUGACGUGAUCGAUAGCCACCAGCACAUCAUCCACGUCCUGUAGUGAAUAAACUCAGAUAUUAGGGUCUACAAAUACAAAAGCAGAUACAUAAAGUAAAUACUAGUUACACAAGUAUAUUAACAACGUAAAUUCUUAGCAUACAUAAGCAUAUACAGAUAUAUUUAUGCCAGAGAGUGUGUAUGUCUAUCUGUAUGAUACCAAAGUAGUAUAAAAUGGCCCAACAUGGGGCUCUACAUAAAUAAACAGGUGCUAUAGAAUACGCUCCCCUAAGGAACAAUGCCAUCUCGGAUAACAAAAAUAACAUUGCUGUAAAACAGAUUAAAGGUAAAUAUAUAUAGGUACGCACCUGGGACCCUAUUUUCCCUAGAAGGGACUGAAGUGCUUCUUCACCAAAACCCAGCGAACCUCUGAGAUAAACUAACAUGUCAGAACAAUGCAAGAUAAAAGCCGAUGAAGUUAAAAGAAAUGGUUAUUUCUUUUCAUAUCCGUAGGCCAAUUUCAUAAUAUCUGAACAAGAUUGGAGCACAAUUUUGUUGACCCAGAUAAGAAAAUUCAGAAUGAAAGGACAAAAAGGAGAAUCAUAGCUUACCUAUAAUUUACAAGUAACAAACUGAACCCAAUUGAAGAGAGAAAUGCUAAGGACUUUGAAUAGCUUGACAAUGAAACAGAGUGCGGGCCUCCGUGGAGGAUUACAAUUAAUGGGUCAAAUGAAUCAUUUCUUUUAGUUUUGGAAGACACAAAUAUGGCUUCAAUUGGUUUGGCAGCACCUGAAAGGUUUUAAGCAUGUACAGGAUGUUAAAAUCAAUUUUUUUUUUUUUUACAAACAAGAAAUAAUUGGUUUAUAAUACCUUUUGUUACGCUACCAGAAACAUCCCUGACAGGAACCUUCAGUAUACUGAAUUGCAGAGAGGAGAGCAAAGAUUUAACCUAUGGCAAGUUGAAACAUGAGUUGAACAGAUGUAAGCUUUGAAGAUAAUCUUGAUAUGUGGAAAUAUAGAAAAGCAGAUUAAUGGACCUUCUCAGAGCAUUCACUUGGGGGGCUUGAUACAUUUAACCAACUCCAUGCGGUACUUGUACUUUCUUUAUCAACAAGGUAACCAUAAUUGAUAUGAGGUACAUCUACUGGACUGCUAGACACUUCAGAAAUCAAAGAUAAAGAGAAAUUUCGUUAUUGAUCAGUAAAUUUUUCCUGAGUAAUUAUCAGUACAAAAUGGCAAUUUCUUUACCAGCAAUGAUAUUGUCCCCAUCCAGUGUAAGAACAUCCCAUGAAUUUGAAUCAGCAGAGCUGAUACGUGAUACUUCCCCGCUGUACUUCCAUAUAACUUUCAUAGGUCAGUUAUAAAAAGUUAAAAAGGUAACGACCCCAUGGAGAUACGAGUGUCAUAUGAUUAGUCAUUAUAGUUACCUCAAAACAUUCACAGAAAGUAUCACUUGACAGCUACCCCAGAUAGAAGAUAUGAUCAUUGUGCAUCCAUCAGAAAGCCAUGGAUUACUAAGGAUACUUGACCAGUAAAGCCCAGGGAAGCAACCAUCCUCAGCACACAUAACAACAGGAAUCUUCAAAAAAGAAGUGUAUUAAGUGUUGUUAUAUAAGUAGGGAGAGAGAUAAAGAGAGAAAAAUUCAUAAAAAAUUUCCUAAACUUAUAUUAUUAUGUUGUGUGAUAUCACCUUCAUGAAAUGAAAACCUUUUGUUGAAGACAAUUAACCUAGAGUUCAAGGGUUCGCUACCCAUGCACAAAAGUACCGCACACCAGAAUAAAAAAAGGGAAGAAAACAGGUCAAAGGAAAUUUCUAUAUAUUGAAUUUCAUCCUCAGUGUGUAUGAAUACAACAUCGAAUUUACAAAUCAACUACAAAAGAUACCACUGGUAUAUAGUAGCAACUAGCAAAUAGCAAAACAGCAUCCAACCAAAACAAGUAAGCGAACCACGAUCUUUAAUCCUAACAGUUCUGGAAUGCAAACCCAUAUGAGUUUACACCUUUACAAGGAAACGCUUAAUGCUUACUUAUAAGCACAUCUUAACAAAUGAACCUUUGUUCAUAAUUUACAUGCACAUGGACUCGAACAAAGAAUUCCACAGAACUGAGUAGUUUAAAUUAUCAAUCAGGAAAUAAAAGUUGAUUAGUACAGAAAGAUAAAAGCCAGAGAGCUCACCACAUCAACAAUUUUUGCAGAUGAGGAUAGCACUCCAUCCACUGGCCAGUCUAUUCUGUGAAGAGAAUCUGUUGCAGAAUGUGCCCCGGAAUCCACAGAACUUCUAGCCGAUAAAAACAAAAGGAAUUUUCCAUCUGGGCUGCCAAAAUUACAUUGAUCAUGUUUCAAAUACAAUCAGAAUCAGUAAUUGUAAUGAUGUUUGAAACAAUCAACCAUCUAUUGGAUAAUGUGAAACAAUCAGUACAAUUCCGAUUCAAAUGUUCAUCAAACUUCAAUUAAUAUUAAGAUAUCAAUUUCCGUUUUGAAAUUAAAAGAGAGGCUAUAAACGUCAAAAACUUAUAUCAUAGACUAAAUUUGAGUACUGCAUGAUGUUACAGACCCUGGUAAAGUGCACACGAACACAUAACUAAGUGUCUGAUGGGGGAAAAAGUUACCAGAACCGUGGAUAGAAAGCACUACUUAUGCUUUGAGUCAGCUUUACAGCAGGAAGAUCUUCAGUUGAACUAGCUCUAGAACAGUGAAAGAAAGUAAUAGUUAUAUCAAAUGUAGAAGCACAAUGAAUUUCCAAAACAAUUAACAAGCAGAAGAUCCAAAAAAUCAAUAAGUAACAAUAAGUAUUGCACAAAGCAACUCACUUGAGUUCAGAUCCAUUUGCUUCUGAUUCAAAAUUUGGUGCCUUGACCACAUACAAUGCACAGGGCCUGUUAAAGCAGUACUUGAUACCAAGCUUUCUGAUACCUUCUGACCACCCAACAAAAACCAACGAUUGAUGCGAGCCUUUAACUGGUGGCGCCCAUACAACUUGACCAACACUCAAAGACUUUUCAAUUCCUUUGACAGCUUGUGCCUCUCCGCUGUACAGCAUAGGAUAAUUAAAGUUAGCCAGGCAUUUAAACGAGAAAUCUCCUUACUUCUAAUCCUGGUACUAAUAGAAACUAAACCAAUUGUUAAAGACCUGUUAAUAUUGAUGACAAAAAGUGCAGGCUGCCUUUUUCCAGCAUAGGUUUCCCCCCAUUCUUCCUUCCAAUCCCCUUGACCUUUCCAGUUACCAAAGUCCUUAUCCGUGGAACUACUUUUCUUGUAUCCCUGACCUGUAAAUGUGGGCUUGGAGGGAGCUGGUUCCUCAGCAACAUAAGCAAUGAGAGUUUCAUCAGCGUUCCAAGAAAUUCCCUGAAACCUGUAUCAUUGAAAAUUUGAACUCUUUUAUGCUGGAGGAAAUCUAGAUAUAUGAAAAGAUUAAUGAUCAAAACAGAGGCGUAAUUCUACUACUAUCACUAAAGGCAUAAAGCACAAAACGUCUAGUACACAAGACUAGCAUCAAAUAUCAUGUAUGACGAUAAUUGGAAAGACUGCAUUCACGAUGUUUACCAUCCAUCAGCAUAAACUGAACCAUGAACAGAUUGGGGAAUGUGGAAUUCUUUCUCCAAUUGACCUUGGCCCCAAAUUUCAAAUUGGCAGGGAGAUUCGUUCUCAGGAUUCCGAACCACAAAAAGCUUUGCACCGGACGGGGAUGGAACAAAUACAGAUACUCCUGUCAUCUCAACCGGGAACGGGGACCAUUGGAAGUUUACAGAAUUGUUACUUUCUCUUGAAAUAUGAGAGGAUAGAAUGAAUUUCUUCCUCUUGUUUGCCAAAAGAUUCGGUUGACUAAUUGAAAACAUUGCCUGAGACCCAAUUCCUGAAACAAAGUUUAAUGUGCAUGUCCUCAUUAGGAAAAAUUCUUUGGCUUUCAAUUAGAGAGGAAGUACAUGUGUUUAUAUAUUUCCUUACAUAUGUAAUGUACGUAUAUAUGAAUCUGUUGCAUGUAUGUAAGGAUAAGGACGUGCAUGUUAGAAGAAUGAGAAAUUGUACCGCUAUCAGAUUUAAAUGAGAAAUUGUACCGCUAUCAGAUUUAAAAAUCCAUGCCUUGUCAAUGCUGGAAAUACUAGUGAAGUCUUGAAGUAACCUAGACUGUGAUGCAUAUUCUUCCUCAGUUGUUGCAUCUACCCCAAGAGGCAUGUCCUUCACUGGACCAUCUUUAGAACUGCCCAUGGCUAAAAGCGUUGACAAUCUUUUACUACAGAGUAGAUUGCAUGGAAGAUAUUGUCAAUUUGUGAUGUCAAAGGACAAAUGAAAUUAUGCAGUAGCUCAUUACUCAAAUGGUCAGUAGCAUUGGUCAUAAAAAACAGCAAAUCUCCUAGAAAGAAAAAGAAAAAAUAAACUAUAUUUUCUUGUUUUUUCCUUUUAAAUGAAUGAGUUUUAGCAUGUCAUUCCUUCAUCAAUCGAAUACAGCAGACAUAUGAUAUAUUCCAAACAAUAGAAACAAGCAAUCCGCAACCUCAAAUUCUACUUAACAUGAAAAAUGAUGCUACUUUUGAUUAUUUUGAUCAACAUCGUUAACAGCUACCUGAAAUUUCUGCAAGUCAAUUUGCCACCUCAAAUUCUACAUAACUUGGAAUUGGCAUAUAGUAUACUCACACAUUUGAUACUACCACAUAGCACCUGUAAGAAUUUCGGCUACAGAAAGUCUUGAGGCCUCUUUCCAGUCAAGGAAAUUGCUCAAUUCAAUUUACACUUGCAAAACCAAAUUAAUACCCAUCGCCAUGAUCCAAUCUAGUAAAAAGGUAGCCGCGAAUUCGAGCACUGUGGACUAAAGUUGGAAUCUUUUUAAGUUGUUCUAUAUGGCCAUUCCAUCAAUCUAGAUUAACAUUAACAAUCGCACACUAGUUCAAGAAUUCAAACGAACAGGUUAUUCAAUUCCAUUCAAAGAUUUCCACUCUACGCAACCAAAAAUAAAUGAAUCAAAGCACCGAGCAAAGUGAGAUGAAGAAAGAAAGGAAGAACUAACAGAUACCCACCAAACAGUUUAGCACAAAAACUUGGAUUCGACGACUAAAAGUCAACAGUGUAACUGUGUAAGUAAGGAGAGUACACAGGUAUAGAUAGGGGAGAGAGAGAGAGAGAGAGAGCGCCAACUUACAUAGAGAGAAAAUUGCGAAAGGGUCUGCGACUGCUCGUCCUCGGAGUGAGAAGGUGCGAAGGUGAGAUUAAAUAGAAAGAGGAGGAGGGAAUCUUAUACCCAGGACUUAUUCCGUUCAUUUCUGCCUUCUAACAAAAGUGAUGCUCCACCUAAGGCCUACAAUAAAUAGAGUUUUUUAUUAUUUUAUUAUCAAUAAAUUAUACCUAUACUGUUAAAUAGUUCUCCAUUUGAUUCCAGUUGAUUGCUUAAUUGAGGUUUUUUGUUUCUGUUUUUCGCUCUUUCGUUAGUUCAUUGGCUUUCAUGUUGGGCUUAAGGAAAUGGGAAAUCAUUAAUUGGCAUUGUUCAAGAUAUGGUUCUGUUUUUUUAUUUAUUUGUGAAACGAUUUGGCUGAUGAAGAAAGUAGUUUUUUGCAUAUAGAUUACACACAUAUGGGCUGAUCUAUCUUUCCUAAUAAAUUUCCCAUUUGUUUCAGGUAUAAAAUUUUCUCAUCUAUUUGCAAACAAGUUUGGGUAUGUUCUUACUUCUCGCAAAAUGUUUUGUUUUUAGUAAUUAGGCAGGCUUAAUGUAUAUGACAUUAUUUUUGUUUUUGGCAGCAAAUCACAGUACAAAGGUGAGCCAAUUAUUCUCAUGGUCUUCAUUUUUAUAAUUUAUUUCCUUGGUUUAAUUUAUUAAUCUUAGUGAAGGUGUAAUUAUUGUGUAAUUAACUUUUUUUCUUGAUUCUAUUCCUUUUAUUUAUGUGAUUUUAAGCGGUGGGAAGCUGUUGCAUACCUUGCAUGCAAUAAGUAUAAAAUUUGAUGUCUUUUUAUGAGCUUUCCCAAACACCCCCCCCCCCCAAAAAAAAAAAAUUAGUGGAAAUGCUCAAUCUUUUUGUUUUACAAAGGAUAUCUCCGAUUUUGGCUUGGGUAUCAGGCCUUCUUAAUUAUCAUCUAUUAAUCUUUCCAUUCAUAGUGAAGCUUAAUUUUCAACCUGUUUUGGGGUGGCCACGUGAACCAUUCUUUGUCUUUCUGUUCACCAAGCACAUUUUCAUCAUCCUGAAUGUUAUUUGUACACUGUUUGUUUUUUCAUGUGUGUCGAUUUUGUUACCGAUGAUUUUUUUUAUUGAUAUAAUGUGAUGAUUUCUCUUGACAAAUACAGGUGCUUGAAAAAUUUCAACUCUGCAAGUUGGAAAAAAAAGGAGGGUUUCAAAAUACUGUGCUUUCACGCUUUGGCGUCUUUGUCUUUGUGUUUGAAAGAUUUCUGUACUAAAGGUGAGUGAGCUAAAAUUUUGGAAUUGUUAAGAUCAAAUUUUAAGUAUUUGUUUCGAUUUUGUUUUAUAAAGUAUGAAUAAACUUGGUAUUUCCUUUAACUUUAAUUGUGUUUAAAUUGAAAUCCUAAUUUUGAUGGUUUGUUCAUAAUUAAUGUUUGUUAUGUUUUUUUGCUGUGUGAUUUAUGUGUUAAUUUUUUUUUCUUUUUUUUUCCAAUCUUUUUUGCAGCUCUUCGCUUUUCCUCGUAACAAUUUGUUUUCAACAUGUCUAAAAGAUCUAUAAAUGCGUUGGUCAAUGAUGAUAACAACAAAAAACAAACAAAUAGUGAUAAUGAAUAUAAUGUCUUGGUUCAGUGUGACCAUCAGCCAAGAAAAGUGUGUAGAACCAGUUAUCUUGAAAAUCAUGAAAACGCUGUUUUAUCUCAGAUUGAUACAUUUCUUCGAACUCCAUAUUUUAAACAUCAGUGUAGUAGUAGUGGAUCAGCUGUUGUACAAUGCGAUUUGAAAAAUGCUAAUUAUGAUAAAGUGCAGCAUACUGCAUCUGUUGAAAAAAUUGUUCAGCCUUCUGAUCGAAAAGGUAAAAAACCUAUUAAUUUGUUGGAUAAUUCUGAUAACAUGGCUGAAAAAACGAUUGAUCCUCAAAAUUACAAUCUUAUGAACAAGGGCCAAGCAUUCUUCCAGAAAAGCAGAACUGGUAUGUUUUUUAAUUUAUAUAAAAAUAUAUUUCUGUUAUCGUGUAAAUUUAUAUUUAGUUUAUUGCAUAUCUUUCCUAAGUCCCGUUUUCUUUCUUUUCUUUCCUAUGUAUUUUUUUUGCAGGGGUUUUAAAAGAUUAUGUGGAUUUUGGGGAUAAGAAUUAUAAAUGUAGUCACUGCGGUGCCUAUUUUUUUUUGGUUGAAAGAGUCUCUUAAGCAAGUAUGUAAAAAAGAUGAACCUAUUUUCACUCUUUGUUGUCAACAAGGAAAAAUUGCUUUUCCAAAUCCAAAACCAACACCGCCUUUUUUAGAAUCUUUGCUUGAUCCAAAUGGUGGUCCAAAAAGUUUAUCAUUUCGAGAAAAUAUUAGAGCUUACAAUUCUAUGUUUUCAUUUACUUCGAUGGGAGCCAAAAUUGAUCACUCAAUUAAUGAUGGUUCAGGUCCUUAUAUUUUCAAAAUUAGUGGUCAAGUUUGCCAUUUGAUGGGAUCUCUGUUGCCUGCUGACAAUGAGUGUCCAAAAUUUGCACAAUUAUAUGUCUAUGAUACAUACAAUGAAGUGCAAAAUCGAUUGAAGGCUUUUGAAUCUGAUGGAAAUAAUAGAAAGCUUGAUCCAAAAAUUGUUGAAGGUUUGAUUAAGAUGUUUGAUAUGUCAAAUGAGUUAGUUAAGCUUUUUCGAACAGCAAGAGAUAAGUUUGAAACUAAUAGACUCACUUCUUUGAAAAUGAGAUUAUCAGCAAGAGAAAACAACAGAUGGUAAACAAUAUGACCAACCAACAAGUGAUGAAAUAAGUGGUCUGAUAGUUGGUGAUAUAGGACUUGCUGAUUCUAAUAGAGAUAUUAUUAUUGAGUCUAAAAGUGAAGGAUUAAAGCGUGUUACAAAAUUAAAUCCAAAAUUUAUGUCUUUGCAAUAUCCUCUUCUUUUCCCAUACGGUGAAGAUGGUUAUAGACCUGAUUUAAAAUGGAACAAAAAUUAUAAGGGUUCAGAGACUAAAAGACAAAGGAUACCCAUGAGAGAGCUUUUAUAGCGUAUCAAAUUCAAGAACGAGAACCAUGCUUAACAACAUUGUUAAAAGGGGGGAGACUUUUUCAACAAUAUUUGGUUGAUUCUUAUGCAACACUUGAAGAAGAUAGGUUAGAUUACAUUAGGCAAAACCAAAAAAAUUUAAGAAGUGAAGUUUACAAAGGAAUUUAUGAUGCGAUGUCAAGGGGUGAUAAUGAUGCAAACAAUUUGGGACAAAAAAUUGUAUUGCCUGCUUCAUACACAGGGAGUCCUAGAUAUAUGAUUAAUAAUUAUCAAGAUGCAAUGGCUAUUUGCAGAGAAUAUGGACAUCCUGAUUUAUUCAUAACAUUCACAUGCAAUAUAAAGUGGCCAGAAAUCAUAAGAGAAUUUCAGAAAAAACCAGGAUUCAAACCUGAAGAUAGGCCUGAUAUAAUUUCCAGAGUAUUUAAAAUGAAACUCGAUGAUAUGCUUCACUUUAUAAAAUCUGGAAAACCUUUUGGAGAAGUUGAAGCAAGUAAGUCUCUAAGAGUCCUUCUUUUCCUUUAUUAAUGUUUAUUUAUUUUUUUCUGACCUAACAUAAUUUUUUUCUCUGUUUGUUUGUUUUCUUUUAUUUUUCUUAUAAAACAGAUGUUUGCACGAUUGAAUUUCAAAAAAGAGGUUUGCCUCAUUCUCAUAUAUUAAUAUGGUUAAAAUCAAACUUCAAGUGUCAUUCCUCAUGUGAUAUAGAUUCUAUUAUUUCAGCUGAAAUACCGGAUAAAAAUUGUUAAUCCAAAGCUUUAUGAAAUUGUUAAUCAAUUUAUGAUUCAUGGUCCAUGUGGUCACAUUAAUUCAAAGUCUCCUUGCAUGCGAGAAAAUAAGUGUUCAAAAAAUUUUUCCAAAACCAUAUAAAAAAUGAAACACUAUUUGAGCCUAAUGGUUUUCCAAUUUAUAAGCGUUGUGACGAUGAUACAAAAUUUUUCAUAAAAAAUGGCAUCAAAAUUGAUAAUAGCUUUGUUGUUCCUUAUAAUGCAGAACUACUUUUGAGAUACAAUGCUCAUAUAAAUGUUGAAUCAUGUUGUCAAUCUAUGCUUAUAAAGUAUUUGUUCAAAUAUAUUAAUAAAGGUUCAGAUAGAGCACGGUUACUUCUUCAAGAAGAUUCAAAUGAUGAAAUAUUAGCAUAUCUCAAUUGUAGAUACAUAUCACCAUAUGAGGCUGUUUGGAGAUUGUUCCAAUAUUCAAUACAUUAUAGAGAACCUUCUGUUGAGCGAUUACCUGUCCAUUUACCAUUAGAACAAAACAUUGUUUUCAGUGGUAAUCAAUCAUUGGAAUCAAUUAUUAAUCAAAGAGCUUCUGAACAUACUAUGUUAACAGCUUGGUUUGAAGCAAAUAAAAUUUAUAAUGAAUCACGCUUGCUAACUUAUGCUCAGAUGCCAUCCAAGUUUUUAUAUGAUGGACGACAGAAGUUUUGGAAGCCAAGGAAACGCAAAGGAUCAAUUGGUAGGAUAGCAUAUGUGCACCCUGCAUCUGGUGAGUUAUAUUAUUUAAGAAUGCUUUUAAAUUUGAAAAAAGGUGCAUUGAAUUUUGAUGAUAUCAAAACUGUUAAUGGUGUUCUCCAUUCUUCAUAUCAAGCUGCAUGUAAAUCAUUAGGAUUAUUAGGUGAUGAUAAAGAAUGGUUAGAUGCUUUAUCAACUGCUACACAUGUUGCAUCAUCUCCUCAGUUAAGACAAUUAUUUGUUACAAUAGUUUUGUUUUGCGAUGUUGCAAAUCCUGAAAUUCUUUUUGAUACUCAUUGGAAAAAUAUGUAUGACGAUAUUUUAUACAAGCUGCAAAAAACUUUUGCAAUUCCUAAUAUGAUUGUUCCGGAAGAUGAACUAAAAAAUUCUGUCUUAUUUGAGCUAGAAUUACUUUUUAACAAUGCAUCUAGCUCUUUGCAAAAACAUUGUUUGCCAAUGCCUGAUGAAAAAAAGAUGCUAGAAAUAAAAAAUAAACUUUUAAGAGAAGAAUUAAAUUAUGAUUGUCAAGAAUUAUAUAGAAAACAUGAAAUAUUGAAAUCACAACUUAAUGAAGAACAAAAAUAUGUAUAUGAUACUGUUAUAGAUACUGUAAAUACAAGAAAACAAGGAUUAUUUUUUGUCUAUGGCCAUGGAGGUACUGGAAAAACAUUUUUAUGGGAUACAAUUAUAAGUAAGCUUAGAUCUGAAGGCAAAAUUGUUUUAGCUGUGGCAUCAUCAGGAAUAGCAUCAUUAUUAUUACCAAAUGGUAGAACAGCUCACUCUAGGUUUAAAAUUCCGUUGGUUAUUACUGAUACAUCAAUUUGUCCAAUAAAGAAAAAAACUCAUCUUGCCACAUUAAUUGAAAAAACUGAUUUGAUUAUAUGGGAUGAGGCACCUAUGAAUCAUAAAUAUUGUUUUGAAGCAUUGGAUAAAUCACUUUCUGAUAUUCUAUCACAUUUACAUGCUCCGAAUAACAUUGUUCCAUUUGGUGGUAAACCCCUUUUAUUAGGAGGUGAUUUUUUCGACAAAUAUUACCUGUUAUUCCUGGAGCAAACAAAGAAGAUAUAAUAAAUGCUUCUUUAAACAAUUCUUAUUUGUGGCCACAUUUUAAAAUUUUUCGUUUAAAAGAAAAUAUGAGGUUGUUAAGAAAUGAUAUAAGCAUUGAUGAAAAACAAAAAAAUCAAAGAUUUUGCAAAUUGGAUUUUAAAAGUAGGUGAUGGAGAAAUUGAUAACAUAGAUGCACUAAAUGAUUCAAAUGACAUUGAUACAUCUGUGAUUGAAAUACCUAAAGAUUUAAUAAUCCAUUCUUCCACAAACCCAAUUGCUGCAAUCUUUUUGUGCAACUUUUCCCAAUUUUGAAAAUUCUUUUGACGAUUUUGUAUAUCUAAGAGAACGAGCUAUUAUUACACCUCGAAACACAACUGUGUCGGAUGUAAAUGAUUAUAUAACUAAUUUAUUACCUAGAGAACAUCAUACAUUUUUAAGUUAUGAUUCUUUGUGUUCUUCAAAUGGAAAUUUUGAAAAUCUUGAAACAAUGUAUCCUACAGAAUUUUUAAACAAACUUGAUUUCAACGGUUUGCCUACACACAAUCUCAUUUUAAAAGUGGGAAUGCCAAUUAUGUUAUUACGAAAUUUAAACCAAUCUUUGGGUUUAUGCAAUGGAACUAGAUUGAUUGUGACACAAUUAUUUGAUAGAAUUAUUGAGGCUAAAAUUCUUGCUGGAACUAAUAUUGGUCACAAAGUUUUCAUACCAAGAAUCACUCUUGCAGCAACUGAAAGCAAAUGGCCUUUUAUUUUCAAAAAGACGCCAAUUUCCAGUUAGACCAUGUUAUGCAAUGACCAUUAAUAAAAGCCAAGGACAAUCUUUGAAACAAGUUGGAUUAUAUCUUCCUGAACCUGUUUUUACUCAUGGUCAAUUAUAUGUUGCAUUAUCUAGAGUUACAUCAAGAAAAGGUUUAAAAAUAUUGAUAGGAAAUGGAGAAAACAAUUUAAACAAUUAUACAAAAAAAAUAUAGUAUUUAAAGACGUGUUACAAAAUUUACAAUAAUUUGUUUAUAAUCAUGAAUACAUAUUGAGCAAUUUAUAUAGUUAUCAUUUGAUCACCUUCUUUUGUUAAAUACUUUCUUACUGCUACAUUAAUAUUCUUACCCACUUUUGUUCAACCAAAUGCAGGUUACCUUCAUUGGAACUACUGUUUUUAGUUUGCUUACAUAGGAAAUAAAUGCUGCAAUUGCACAUUUAUUUUAAUUAUGGUAAAGCCUCAAAACUAUUCCAUCUGCCUAUCCUAUUUUUUAAUAUUUCCUUAAACAUAUAGUAUAUAUCCAUUUCCAAUUUUCUACCUAAAUUAAAAAAAGAAUUCAAACAUUUUCAAAGAGAUUAAACAUGUUCUAAUAAACAAAGUUUUUACAAUUGCUUUUUCAAUGUAUAGUGAGAUGUUAACCUCUUCCUCCGCAGAUUCAAUGAAAAGAAGACACAUGACAAAUUCAACAACCAAGUUGCAACAACAACAACAACAACAAAGCCUUUUCCCACUAAGUGGGGUCGGCUAUAUGAAUCCUAGAACGCCAUUGCGCUCGGUUUUGUGUCAUGUCUUCCGUUAGAUCCAAGUACUCUAAGUCUUUUCUUAGAGUCUCUUCUAAAGUUUUCCUAGGUCUUCCUCUACCCCUUUGGCCCUGAACCUCUGUCCCGUAGUCACAUAUUCGAACCGGAGCGUCAGUCGGCCUUCUUUGCACAUGUCCAAAUCACCGGAGCCGAUUUUCUCUCAUCUUUCCUACAAUUUCGGCUACUCCUACUUUACCUCGGAUAUCCUCAUUCCCAAUCUUAUCCUUUCUCGUGUGCCCACACAUCCCACGAAGCAUCCUCAUCUCCGCUACACCCAUUUUGUGUACGUGUUGAUGUUUCACCGCCCAACAUUCUGUGCCAUACAACAUCGCUGGCCUUAUUGCCGUCCUAUAAAAUUUUUCCUUGAGCUUCAGUGGCCUACGACGGUCACACAACACGCCGGAUGCACUCUUACACUUCAUCCAUCCAGCUCGUAUUCUAUGGUUGAGGUCUCCAUCUAAUUCUCCGUUCUCUUGCAAGAUAGAUCCUAGGUAGCGAAGACGGUCGCUUUUUGUGAUCUUCGCUAGAUUGCUCCGGUCAUUAGUGUGGAUAAGUAUAUAAAUGGAUAGAGAUAGGAAAGCAAACACAAGAUGUACGUGGUUUACCCAGAUUGGCUACGUCCACGGAAUAGAAGAGUUCUCAUUAAUUGUGAAGGGUUUACACAAGUACAUAGGUUCAAGCUCUCCUUUAGUGAGUACAAGUGAAUGAUUUAGUACAAAUGACAUUAGGAAAUAAUGUGGGAGAAUGAUCUCGUAAUCACGAAACUUCUAAGUAUCGGAGUGUGGUGUCGUCUUGACUUGCCUUAUCUGUCUCAUAGGUAGAUGUGGGUGGUAUCUUUAACUGGUGGAGAUGCACAAGGUAAUGUAUCAAUUUCACUUGAAGCUUACUUGUAGUUUCAGGCUUGGUCAAGCGCGAUACAAACCAUGUAGUAGGAGUCCCCCAAGUCGCCGAGCUAGGGGGUCUGCUGAAAGAGGUGACAUACAAGGUAAGCAAUCAGAGCUCCGACUGAUUGUUCACCUUCUCCCCAUCUUGCAGCAGCAUGAAGGAUAAAGAGAAGAAAAAUGAGAAGAGAUGAUAUGAGAUACUUUUGCUUUUGAAUAAGUAACUUUCCACAGGCUUAUUCUUGAACUGAGCUGGAGGGUUUUCUGGUUUCCUCCAGAGUAUAAGGCCGACUGAAGAAUUUGAGGGUCAAAACAAGUCCAUCAAAUCUAGAGUACGUUCCACCCUGCUGAUAUGGGAUACUUUUGCUUUUGAUAGAGUAAUGGAUGUAUCGGCACGUGUGCUGUUACGCUUGUCUCCACAUGCUUCCUUGUAUCCUUCGCACUUGCCCAAUCUGUUCCUCAAGCAGAUGCGGAAUCUUCCCUGGAAACAUAAGAUGUUGAAGAUGAGUACUCGAGAGCAAUGCCAGGUAAGUAAUCAGGUAAGGGGUUCCAGGCAGUCAGUUCCUGGCUGGAAGCUUGAUUCCAAGUGCUGACUGAUUGCUCUCUUUCUCCUUGUCUUGCAGGUAAAAACAAGGCCAAAGGAAAAGACAGGGAAAAAGCAUGAUAUGGGAUACUCUUGCUUUUAACCCUGAUGAUAUGAGAUAUUCUUGCUCUAGUAUAGCUUGUUUGCAGAGGUAUUAUCGGGGGGAAAGAAAGCUGAAUAUUUCGAAAGGCUUCGUUGGGAGUGCCCUCUCAGAUAUGAUGAAGGGUUUGAGCAUUUUUUGCAGGUCUGCCUGUCCGUUGGGGAUAGAGGUCGACAUAUAUAGGAGUCUCCCUAACAACAAGUAGUAAUGCUAUUCCUUUACCCUGCUUGGUCAUAGCACGGUAGUGGGAGCUGCCAGUUUCACAUGUUUUAACUCUGUCAGAGCACUUUGAAAAAGUGGUCUGUGGUAUCUGGCUCUCGAGAUUCGGAGAACGAUGCCUCUUCGAUUUUUGAGAAAGCAAUCAUGCUGGGGGUCUGGCUCUCGAGAUUCGGAGAGCAGUGUCUCUUCGAUUUUUUAGGAAGUAAUCAUGUUGGGAGUCUGGCUCUCGAGAUUCGGAGGGCGGUGCCUCUUCGAUUUUGGAGCAAGCAAUCUGUUGGGAGUGUUGUCUCGAAUGUGAGUAAAGGUUGGGCAUGUUUGCUAGUCUACCUUGCCACGAAGCACAAAGGUUGACACACAGGGACUUUCCAAUUAUCCAGCAAUGGUACUGUUCCUUUACCCUCUCUUCGCUUUUGAGAAAGUAGUCAUGGUGGGAGUCUGGCUCUCGAGAUUCGGAGGACGGUGCCUCUUCGAUUUUGGAGCAAGCAAUCUUGUUGGGAGUGUUUUCUCGAAUGUGAGUAAAGGUUGGGCAUGUUUGCUAGUCUACCUUGCCACGAAGCACAGAGGUUGACACACAGGGACUUUCCGAUUAUCCAGCAGUGGUACUGUUCCUUUACCCUUAUGGGUAAUAAUAUGGUAGCUAGACCUUCAAAAUUUAUGUGUCUAAACUUUGUUAGUGCUGUUUCUUUGCUAUUUUUUUACCUUUCUUAGUCAGAACGAUGUAGUGGGAGCUGCAAGCUUCACGUGCUCAACUUUGGCAGAGAACUUUGGCAAAGUUAUCUGUGGUACCCAUGAGCUAUUGUUGCGUGUGGGAAGUGGGUGAUUGAACAGUAAGAUUCAUGUGCUUUCUACUUCACCAGAAGUCUUCGACAGAAUGCCCAUAAUUUCUGCAAAGCUGAGUGUGCGUGUGACAGGUGCUGACAAGGCUAGAAAAGUAGGUGCCUCUUCGAUUUCUGAGAUCGGCCCUCGUGGUCUCUGAGCAGCCCAGCUUUUGAGAAAGCGAGCGCCUCUUCGAUUGAUUCGGAGAACGAUGCCUCAUCGGUUUUUGAGAAAGCAAUCAUGCUGGGGGUCUGGCUCUCGAAGAUUCGGGGUCUCUUCGAUUUUUGAGAAAGUAAUCAUGUUGGGAGUCUGGCUCUCGAGAUUCGGAGGGCGGUGCCUCUUCGAUUUUGGAGCAAGCAAUCUUGUUGGGAGUGAGAUUCGGAGGACGGUGCCUCUUCGAUUUUGGAGCAAGCAAUCUUAUUGGGAGUGUUUUCUCGAAUGUGAGUAAAGGUUAGGCAUGUUUGCUAGUCUACCUUGCCACGAAGCACAGAGGUUGACACACAGGGACUUUCCAAUUAUCCAGCAGUGGUACUGUUCCUUUACCCUUGUGGGUAAUAAUAUGGUAGCUAGACCUUCAAAAUUUAUGGGUCUAAACUUUGUUAGUGCUGUUUCUUUGCUAUUCUUUUACCCUUCUUGGUCAGAGCGAUGUAGUGGGAGCUGCAAGCUUCACGUGCUCAACUUUGGCAGAGAACUUUGGCAAAGUUAUCUGUGGUACCCAUGAGCUAUUGUUGCGUGUGGGAAGUGGGUGAUUGAACAGUAAGAUUCAUGUGUUUUCUACUUCCCCAGAAGUCUUCGACAGAAUGCCCAUAAUUUCCGCAAAGCUGAGUGUGCGUGUGACAGGUGCUGACAAGGCUGGAAAAGUAGGUGCCUCUUCGAUUUCUGAGAUCGGCCCUCGUGGUCUCUGGGGAGCCCAGCUUUUGAGAAAGCGAGCGCCUCUUCGAUUUCUGAGAUCGGCCUUCGUGGUCUUUGAGCAGCCCAACUUUUGAGAAAGCAAACGCCUCUUCGAUUUCUGAGAUCAACCCUCGUGAUCUCUAAGCAGCCCAACUUUUGAGAAAGCAAACGCCUCUUCGAUUUCUGAAGCUCCGUCGAGUGCAGAUUUUUAUAGGGGCUGGCAUUAAGUUCCAAAGCACACUUGAAUCUCCACCCAGUAGAAGCUUCAUUCUUGCACUUCUAAGAUCUUGAUUUGUCCGACCUCUUCUCUCUUCAACACCUUUGAAAAUGUCUGGCCCCUCCGACCGUCGUUUUGACUUGAACCUUGUUGAAGAGGCAGCCCCGCCUUCUCCAGACAACAUAUGGCGCCCAUCCUUCGUCUCCCCUACUGGUCCUCUUACCGUUGGGGAUUCCGUGAUGAAGAAUGAUAUGACCGCUGCGGUGGUGGCCAGGAACCUUCUCACUCCCAAAGAUAACAGACUACUUUCCAAACGGUCUGAUGAGUUAGCUGUUAAGGAUUCGCUGGCUCUCAGUGUUCAGUGUGCAGGUUCUGUGUCUAAUAUGGCCCAACGCCUAUUUGCUCGAACCCGCCAAGUUGAAUCAUUGGCGGCUGAAGUGAUGAGUCUCAAACAGGAGAUUAGAGGGCUCAAGCAUGAGAAUAAACAGUUGCACCGGCUCGCACAUGACUAUGCUACAAACAUGAAGAGGAAGCUUGACCAGAUGAAGGAAACUGAUGGUCAGGUUUUACUUGAUCAUCAGAGAUUUGUGGGUUUGUUCCAAAGGCAUUUAUUGCCUUCGUCUUCUGGGGCUGUACCGCGUAAUGAAGCUCCAAAUGAUCAACCUCUGAUGCCUCCUCCUUCUAGGGUUCUGUCCAGUACUGAGGCUCCAAAUGAUCCCUCUCCGGUGCCUUCUCUUUCUGGGGCUCUACCGACUGCUGAGACUUCUCCUAAGCAACCUUUGUGAAGGCUCCCUUUUGUGUGUUUAUUUUGACUCAUGUAUAUGUACAUAUUUGUAGCUUAUCGGGGAUAUCAAUAAAUAAGCUUUCCUUCAUUUCAACGUAUUGUGUUAAAUACACCAAAGCCUUCUUCGCUAAGUUCUUUGAAUUUUCUUUUGUUGAAGCUUGUAUGUUGAAGCUUUCUGAGUGGAGCAUGUAGGUUGGGGUAGUGUUCCCUUAAUUUCCCGAGUGAGGAAAACUUCUCGGUUGGAGACUUGGAAAAUCCAAGUCACUGAGUGGGAUCGGCUAUAUAAAUCUUAGAACGCCAUUGUGCUCGAUCCUGUGUCAUGUCCUUCGUUAGAUCCAAGUACUCUAAGUCUUUUCUUAGAGUCUCUUCCAAAGUUUUCCUAGGUCUUCCUCUACCCCUUCGGCCCUGAACCUCUGUCCCAUAGUCGCAUCUUCUAAUCGGAGCGUCAGUAGGCCUUCUUUGCACAUGUCCAAACCACCGUAACCGAUUUUCUCUCAUCUUUCCUUCAAUUUCGGCUACUCCUACUUUACCCCGGAUAUCCUCAUUCCUAAUCUUAUCCUUUCUCGUGUGCCCACACAUCCAACGAAGCAUCCUCAUCUCCGCUACACCCAUUUUGUGUACGUGUUGAUGUUUUCACCGCCCAACAUUCUGUGCCAUACAGCAUCGCCGGCCUUAUUGCCGUCCUAUAAAAUUUUCCCUUGAGCUUCAGUGGCAUACGGCGGUCACACAACACGCCGGAUGCACUCUUCCACUUCAUCCAUCCAGCUUGUAUUCUAUGGUUGAGAUCUCCAUCUAAUUCUCCGUUCUUUUGCAAGAUAGAUCCUAGGUAACGAAAACGGUCGCUCUUUGGUAUUUCUUGAUCUCCGAUCCUCACCCCUAACUCGUUUUGGCCUCCAUUUGCACUGAACUUGCACUCCAUAUAUUCUGUCUUUGAUCGGCUUAGGCGAAGACCUUUAGAUUCCAACACUUCUCUCCAAAGGUUAAGCUUUGCAUUUACCCCUUCCUGAGUUUCAUCUAUCAACACUAUAUCGUCUGCGAAAAGCAUACACCAAGGAAUAUCAUCUUGAAUAUGUCCUGUUAACUCAUCCAUUACCAACGCAAAAAGGUAAGGACUUAAGGAUGAGCCUUGAUGUAAUCCUACAGUUAUGGGAAAGCUUUCGGUUUGUCCUUCAUGAGUUCUUACGGCAGUCUUUGCUCCUUCAUACAUAUCCUUUAUAGCUUGGAUAUAUGCUACUCGUACUCCUUUCUUCUCUAAAAUCCUCCAAAGAAUGUCUCUUGGGACCCUAUCAUACGCUUUUUCCAAAUCUAUAAAGACCAUGUGUAAAUCCUUUUUCCCAUCUCUAUAUCUUUCCAUCAAUCUUCGUAAGAGAUAGAUUGCCUCCAUGGUUGAGCGCCCUGGCAUGAACCCGAAUUGGUUGUCCGAAACCCGUGUCUCUUGCCUCAAUCUAUGCUCAAUGACUCUCUCCCAGAGCUUCAUUGUAUGACUCAUUAGCUUAAUACCCCUAUAGUUCAUGCAAUUUUGUACGUCGCCCUUAUUCUUGUAGAUAGGCACCAAAGUGCUCGUUCGCCACUCAUUUGGCAUCUUCUUCGUUUUCAAAAUCCUAUUGAAAAGGUCAGUGAGCCAUGUUAUACCUGUCUCUCCCAAAAGUUUCCACACUUCGAUUGGUAUAUCGUCUGGGCCUAUUGCUUUUUUAUGCUUCAUCUUCUUCAAAGCUACAACCACUUCUUCCUUCCGGAUUCGACGAUAAAAAGAGUAGUUUCUACACUCUUCUGAGUUACUCAACUCCCCUAAAGAAGCACUCAUUUCAUGUCCUUCAUUGAAAAGAUUAUGAAAAUAACCUCUCCAUCUGUCUUUAACCGCGUUCUCUGUAGCAAGAACCUUUCCAUCCUCAUCCUUGAUGCACCUCACUUGGUUUAGGUCCCUUGUCUUCUUUUCCCUUGCUCUAGAUAGUUUAUAGAUAUCCAACUCUCCUUCUUUGGUAUCUAGUCGUUUAUACAUAUCGUCGUAAGCCGCUAACUUAGCUUCUCUGACAGCUUUCUUCGCCUCUUGCUUCGCUUUUCUAUACCUUUCACCAUUUUCAUCAUCGGUCCUCUCCUUGUAUAAGGCUUUACAACAUUCCUUCUUAGCCUUCACCUUUGUUUGUACCUCCUCAUUCCACCACCAAGAUUCCUUUUGGUGUGGGGCAAAGCCCUUGGACUCUCCUAAUACCUCUUUUUGCUACUUUUCGGAUACAACUAGCCAUGGAAUCCCACAUUUGGCUAGCUUCCCCCUCUCUAUCCCACACACAUUGGGUGAUUACCUUCUCUUUGAAAAUGACUUGUUUUUUCUUCUUUUAGAUUCCACCAUCUAGUCCUUGGGCACUUCCAAGUCUUGUUCUUUUUUGUCUUACUCUUUUGAUAUGUACAUCCAUCACCAACAAGCGAUGUUGAUUAGCCACGCUCUCUCCUAGGUAUAACUUUGCAAUCCUUACAAGUUAUACGAUCCCCUUUCCUCAUUAGAAGAAAAUCUAUUUGUGUUUUUGACGACCCACUCUUGUAGGUGAUCACAUGUUCUUCUCUCUUCUUAAAGAAGGUGUUGGCUAAGAAGAGAUCAUAUGCCAUUGCAAAAUCCAAGAUAGCUUCCCCAUCCUCGUUUCUCUCCCCAAAACCAUGGCCACCAUGAAAACCUCCAUAGUUGCCUGUCUCCCUGCCCACGUGUCCAUUUAAAUCUCCUCCUAUAAAUAACUUCUCCGUCUGAGCAAUUCCUUGCACCAAGUCUCCAAGAUCUUCCCAAAAUUUCUCCUUCGAACUCGUAUCCAACCCUACUUAAGGUGCAUACGCACUAAUCACAUUGAUAAGUUCUUGUCCUAUUACAAUCUUGAUUGCCAUGAUUCUAUCUCCUACCCUCUUGACAUCUACAACAUCUUGUACCAAGGUCUUGUCCACGAUGAUGCCAACACCGUUUCUCGUUCUAUUUGUGCUCGAAUACCAAAGUUUAAACCCUGAGUUUUCUAGAUCCUUUGCCUUACUACCAACCCACUUAGUUUCUUGUAGGCACAUAAUAUUUAUCCUUCUCCUCACCAUAACUUCCACUACUUCCAUAGAUUUUCCCGUUAAGGUUCCUAUAUUCCACGUUCCUAAACGCAUUUUGCUCUCUUGAACUCUACCCUUCUGUCCUAGCUUCUUCACCCUCCCUCGUCUAAUAGGAUCAAAGUACUUCUUUUUGUGUGUCCCGGGUAAAGUUGAUAGGAGCAUAUGCUCCCAAACAACUUUGAGUGGAGUCGUUCGAAAAGAAGUUUCUAUGGCCCCCUUGCUCAUUUAACACUGCAUCCGGGUGCCGAUGGAGAUACAGCGACCCUUGCUCACUUAUCACUGUGCUCGGGCCACACAGCGCGCCACUUACGGGUGACGCCCUAGCUUUAGCGCGAUUUUGUUCUGGAUUCAUUUUCAUAAGGAUUCGACGUGAUCAUGGAGUGUCGGCUGUCGACUACCUGACGCCCUCCCCCUCCUCCUUUAUCCGGGCUUGGGACCGGCCAUGUAAGACAUAGGCGGAGUUUCAACAACCAAGUUGCAGCUACAACAAAUAUGUUUAAGCACGGUAUAAAAGCAAAGAUUAUUAGGUAUGGCCUAAAUCCUCAACUACAAUGGAAUGACUUAAUGGUAUGUUUUUCUUAACUUUCUUUUCUUUGCUGAUUCCCGUUUAAAUUCAAUAUUUACUAACCUUUCUCUUCAGAGGAAUUCGUUGCUACCAAUGUAUGUAUAUACAAACGAUCUUCUUUUUACCUAAUCUGAAUACAUAGCUUAUUCCUUGCUUGACCAUUGAUGAGUUAAGGGGGACAUAUGUACAAAGUAUAUCUUCAAUGAGAACAUCUUCAUCUAUACUUUUGUAUGUCCAACUCAAACCUCUCAUUAGACAACCAACCAAUUAGCCAUGUGUUCACAAUACGUCAAAAGGAGAAAGUUUUUGUGUAUAAAUUGUUAGCAACCAAUUCCUCUAAGAGAAAAGAUGGAAGUGAUGAUUAUUUCUCCAAAUGAUGAAGACUGAAAUAACUCAGCAUACUUUGUCUCUAUAUUACAAAGAGGCAUCUAACUAGCUAUAUCUGAUCCAUCUUUUUACAUGUUUCACUUCACUUUUACAGAUAAAAUACUAAUGAAUUAACUCUUGAUUAACAAUGUCAUUGUUUAAAUUAUUUCAAGUGUUGCUUUUAUUCAACCUGUUUGAAUUUUGCCAUUUACACACUCCUAUAGGAUUUUGGAUUUUUGUGAAUUUUCAAGAUUUUCCUUGGCUUCAAUUUUUCUUUUUCAAUCUGUCUAUCAUGUUUCCAUUGGCCAUUUCAUCAUUUUCGCCCCACAGUAAAAUUACAAUUAUCAAUAUGGAUCCUACCAACAAUGCAUUGCCAUAUCGUUUUCAUUUUUUUCCUGUUUUGUUAUUUGUAGUUUUCGUUGUGUGAUUAGUAUAAGCAAAAUCAUAUAAGAUUUUGGUUUUUUGUGGGUUUUCAACUUUUUUUCAUGGCUUUUUGACCAUUUAAUUGUUUUUGGCUCCAAAGAAAAUUACAGUUCUCGAUUUGCAUUCUUCCAAGGGUGCAUAACCGUAUCCUUUUCUCAUUUUUGUUUUUGUUUUUCUGUUGUUUCUAAUUUGCUGUGUAGCAUUCUAUUCCAUGUACAAAGUUGAGCCUUUAAUAAAUUUAGUUAUGAAUGUUUUGUAAACAUGGAAGACCUUAUAAAACUCAAUCAUGUGAUGGUGGAGCACUCUUUUGCUCCCAAUUGAGGUUAGUGUUCUUUAUUGACUCUAUAAAAGUUCAAUGGUUGGAUAAAGUAAACAGAAGAUUUUUUUUGGGUUUGUGAAUGAACAAGGAAAACAACGGAAAUAUAGGAACUUAUAUUAGACUCUCAAAAAUUUUCUUUCAAACAUAGGUCAAUUUUCUGUUUACUAACAUCAUAAUACCUCUUCCUCUAUUUGAAUUUAAUCCCCUUGUUCUCAUUUUCUAUACAAAUGGUUCUGCACCUUUCAUUCAAACUUGAUCAUUCUAUAAAUAUCUAUAUUAUUUUAUCCUUUUGAAACAUAUUUUCUCAUACAUUUUCUAAUCCCGCAGCAACGCGCGGGCACUAUUUCUAGUAUAUUACUAUUCAUUGAGAAGAAAAUGAAUAAAAAGAAAAGGCAUUUUUUUUAUUAACAUCCCAAACAAUGUUAAAUCACCCCAUAUUUAUAAUAACUCAUAAGCCCUAAUAUGCAUUGACAAUUUUGACCUAAUUAAAUAUACAAAUGGAACACCACCGAAAAAGGAAGACAUGGCCGGCCAUCACCAGUUAACACUACUCUAUCUGGAUGGGAAUGAACAAAGCUUCUCAUUUGCGGAUUAAGGACAUUUGACCAUCUCGUAUUGCGCUGAACCCCAUAGGUGUUUGUCAUAGCAAUAGAAGCAAGGGCAAGUAGGAUGGUGAAACAAUCCAUUAUGUGGGUAAAGCCCAUAUGGAUCAGGAUUGUUUUCAACAUAAUGUUUAGAAAAGUAUGGAAGCUACGGUUGCUCGUAUUGGUAGGAAAGGGAUGAGGAGCUCCACUGUGCAUGCGGGACCCAAAAGGAUCACCAUAUCUAGGAUAAUUGUUUGAAAUAGCACAUAACAUUGUGGAUUUUCUGUAUAAAAUGUGGAGUUUAUGUUGAGAGUGUAGUGUGUGAGGAUAUUAUUGGAAGUAAUGUGGGGAGUAUUAAGAUAAAUUUUAAUUGAAAAAAACAAAUAUGAGGUGUAUUAAGUAUGUGGGGCGUAUUCAACAAUAUAUGGGGUGUUAAUAAAACAACCCAAAGAAAAUAAAAUAGACUAAAAAAUAAAAAAUCUUUCAAUUCUCAAAUAAGAGAAGAAUAUAAUAGAUCAUACUUUCAUAUAAUAUCUUAAUUGAAUCAUAUGAAACGAUCAAUAAAUUCAGUUUCAUUUGAGAGUUUGUGAGGACCAACUCUACCUCAAUCAUAGAAUUUUAUUAAGAGAUGAUUAGAUUGGGCUGCUUAAAUUUUACAUUGUUUUGAUUAAUAUAUUUCUGCAAAUUAAAAUUCUACAUAUUGAAUUCUGAAUUUAUCCUCCUCUAUGGGAGUUUUUCUCUUUCUUUUUUCCUGGCAUGGCCUUUUAUUCAGGGAUAUUUAUUUUAAGGAUGACUUUGGAUGCGAUCCUUAUUGAUCAACGUUAUUUGAUUGAAACUUUGUUGGUUUUCGGUUUUUGAUUGAAAUCCCUAAAAUUAAUGCAAUAAUGCAUUUUCAUGUAGGUUAUUAUAAUAUUUAAAUUAAAAUUUGAUAUUUGUGGUUAUUUAUAUUAAUGAGAUUUUAAAUAAAAUUCAUAAUUUAUUGAAAAUAUUGAAAGAAAUUAUACCUAAAUAAAACCCAUGAUUUGUCAUUACUUAUAUUAAUGACAAUUUACAUACAAAAAAUUGGUAAUUUUUAUACGAUGCAUUUUACAUACAAAAAGUUAUACAACAAAAAGGUCAUACGUUUUAUAUAAUGGAUAGAUUUCAUAUAAAAAAAAAAGAAACAAUGGGUACAUUUUACACAAAAGAGAUGGUACUUACGAAAAAAAAAAUGGGUACAUUUUACAUAUAACAAAGUGAUACAUUUUUAAAGACAAAUGGGUGCAUUAUUAAUAAAUCAUGGGUACAAAUAAAAAGGUCAAAAAAAUAUGAGUACAAAUAAAAGUUUGGAAAAUAUGGACACAAAAAGAAAUUAAUACAUGGGUACAAACUAAAACUGAAUAGAAAAUUGGCACAAUUAAAAAAUAAAAAAAAGGGUUGCAAAUUAAAAUGGGUACAAACUAAAAAUAAAAAUGCAUAAUACAAAAUUUAGCCAUAAAUAUAAAUAUAUCAAAUGUAACGUUUCUAACACUAAAUGAAUAAUUUAAAAAUAAAAUUUAAUUAUCUUGGGAUGUAAAAUAUUUUAUUAUUGAAAUAAUUAAUGAUGUUUAUUAAAACCAAUGGACCUUGAUUAAAAUUUGAAAAGAAAUAAGAUUUCAAUCAAUGGAGUUGAAAAAAAGAGGAAUGAGAACUUAAUUUUUUUUUUUUUUACUUAUUAGUUAUGUUUAUCCAGAUUCAUUCUCACUUGUAAAAUUUGGAUGGGCUCUUCCAUUUGAAUUAGUGGUUGUUUUCAUAAAAUUUAUUUUCUUCACAUUUGAAUAGUAAUUCACUUUUGAGAUAUUUUAGGUUUCUUGUUGCUUGAUGUUUUCGAUGUUUUCUGUUUUUUUCCUUGUUCUCUAACCGAUGCUUCUGAUUUUGGGGCAUGAUGCUUGGUGAGCAACCCUAGUUUGGUAUGGUUAAAUGGUAGCACAACAAAUGAGAGUGUCACCGGCCACAUUAGCUAGUCAAACAGAAGUUUGGAGGAGGCAAUAUCUUCAAAUAUACCAAAUAAGAACCACCUUGCUCAAGAGGCAUGUUUCUACAAAGGACGGAGAACACAUUUGGACAGUUUAAAACGUACCAAAUCGAAAAUAUGUCUCACAAUAUUAUUAAUUUACGUACCAAAUGACUGGUAUGAAUAAAUUAAUAAAUAAUUAACAUUACAUAAUAAAUGUACCAAAAUAUUGAUAUGUACACACCAACUACACAAAAAAAAGGUACCAACCAUUAUUAAUAAUAAUCAGUCACUCAACCAAGUUGAUAAAACAAAGAAUGAUAAUUCUAUUUUCAAACUUGAUCAAGCCAAACGUACCCAACCAAAAUAAGUUAUACAAAAUCACAUGGAAACUAACCCAAAAAUUUCUAUUUAACUUUGACGGAGGUACAAUACAAACUUCAAUUGACAUGAUCCGUACGUUUAAUUAUACGUGGAAUGUGUAGUUAUUACCAAACUUCAUUUGACAGGAUCGGUUUUGUUCAAAAACAAAAACAAAAAUUGACAGGAUCGAUACUUUUAGUUAUGCCUUCAAAUGUACCAAAGCAUUUGAGAUAAAAUGCACCCAAGAAUCCAAUUAAUAAGAAAUAGAUACGUUAGAGGCUACCAUUUAAAACGUUUGUUGGAAGGUAUUUGGUAUGUUACGUUUGUUGAAAGUUAUUAAAUACGUUUUAAAUUUUUUAUUGUUAAUUUUUCAAAAGGGAAGUGUGAGUGGCACUUCAAAAAUCUUAUUUUACACUCCUGUUGACCCUAGAAACUACCAAGCCUACGUGGCGCGCAUGCCGAGUAAUCUAUAAGCUAACUACGUCCUUCGGUGAAUGCGGGGCGUGCCAACUCGUCGGCCGAGCUCGGCCGAUGAGUAAAUUUUGUUGAUGUUGCAUUGGGUGUGCGGCUGACUUCUGCGUCUUGCGUUUGCGGCCGAGAAAGGAACACGUCUCGGCCUCUUGGGCUCUCGAACCUGAAGACAAGGUUACUAUUCUUACGAAGUUCAAUAUCAAAUUCGGCUUUCAAUGUGCCGAAUGUAAUAACUGUAACACCUCACUUUGCCGAGAAGGCUGAUGAGAUGACCUCGACCAAUAAGGAUUUAGAAACCCUUCUCGACCGAGACUUGGAUAGGUAAUCAACUGUUCUCGCCGCAGUGCUGUUGAUGCCAACGGAAGAUACUGCGAGAGCGACUAAUUCUACGGUGACAGGGCUAUCUAUGCCGACUUAAGAUAUCACCGGUUGCUUCCACAGUGCUGUUGAUGCCAACGGAAGAUGUGUCAGCGAAAAAGAAAAAGGAAAAAGAUCUCAAGUUGUUGAGAGUUUGCGCAGGGCAAUUUUGUAUUGAUUUGCAGAAGGCCUAUCUGACGCACAGCUUCCCCUAUUUAUAGCAUUGGAUCUUGAAUCCGAGUUAAAAUCCUACUCGGACUAGGUCUUCCUCUCCGGAUCAACACCACCUCGACCAGUCUUAUCUUUACUAGGAUUGUGACCCUAGUCCUUAACUGAGCCGGAUUCGCUUUCUGGGCUACUGAUCCCGCAGAGACUCCCUAUUGUACUAGGACUCGACUUGCGUUAUGAUCUAACCGACCUAGGCUUGGAAGCCCACGAGCUGAACGAUCCAUGGCCCUCUCGUUGCACGGCCUCCCAGGCCGAGAAUGAUCCUACCCUCGGCCCAAACUAUUAUUUUGGGCCCAAACAUUGCCCCCUCGCUUUUGAGGUCCUCGGCCUGAAUUCCUCGGUCAAGUUUCGGCCUUGAAGAAGCGAAUCUACCACUCAGAACCCUAGUGCCCGAGUUCCAAGGCGCAUUUAUUGAACAUGAUUGCACGAUCUUGAUCCUGCUAACCAAACUCGCCACGUGGCGUCCUCCAACACGGCCAAUCCCCAAUAAUGACGUCUAAGGCGAGCGGCUGCCUGAACCGUCCUGCCAUCAUGAUCUUAUGGCUGAACUUAACCACUACCUCAAUCCGCGAGCCACUACCUCCAUCUGUGAGUCACUUGUCAUCGUGCAGGCGUCGAAACGUCUUCCGCCAUUAAUUUCGCCGUUACACGCAAUCGUGCGCCCCUAAAACCUGAGACCUUCGGUCUUCUCAACUGCAUUUCCCAAAUGUUCAUCAUGAUCAGCAAUUCCUUCGGUCGAUUUUGCCCUCUGUUUUGAAUUUCAAACGAUUGCCCUUCCUGCCAAAAUCCUAUAAAUACUGAAAUCCCUCAUUCAUACUUUACGCUUCCAAAAUCACUCCGAAAUUUCUUGCCCUUGUUCUCCAACACAUUUUUCUUCCCAGGUCUUCGUCUUCAAAUCCCCCAACCCAGAAAACUUUUUACGCCGUGCUUCCUUCCUACAAUGGCGUCCUUCAUCUCUAAGCUUUCCAGGGAAUGUGACCAGCAUCAGAAAAUUCUUGAUCGGAGCUCGAUCAAAACCAUACGGUUUGAAAGUGACAUGAGCCCUUCCCACCAAAUCUUGGGUCCUAUUUUCAAGGCGGCAGUACCGUCGACCAUUACUGGCCUUCUCCAGGAGCACUGCCUAACACCCUUGCUCCAAGGGUUUGAAUGGUCGAGAUGGGAUGUGGCGAAACCCCAAGGCUCCUGGCCCUCGACGACCACAACUUGGGCAGCCUGGGUUGUUCGAAUGGAAAGGCUCUUCGGCGAGCAAUGGAAGGCCAUUGGCAUCUACGACGCCAUCUUCCUCUCGUCAAUGGAUGUCGUUCCCGACAAGGAGCUUCUUCUAAUCGCCUUGUGCUUCUGGUGCUCGGCCACCAACACCAUGGUUCUUCCUCUUGGUCUCAUCGGCCCCACCAUUCUUGAUGUCACCGCCAUUUUGGGCACUUCGGCAACUGGGAUCCCCAUUGAUGCGGCCCUCUCUGGGUACCCGUCGAAUAUUGACCUGAAGACGCUUUUUGAUCGACGGGCUUUCGAGACGUUGAACCAUGAAGGUCAAAUCCCGUCGAAAGAAGACAUUCAGAAGCUCCACAAGAACUUCUUCAAUUACAAUACUCUCUAUCUCCAUUUCGCCGGCCGAGGAGAAGAAGACCUGCGAUAAGGAGAACAUGAAGCUUUCCUCUUCUAUUGGUACAACAAGUACAUUUGUUGUACCAAGUCGAACAAAUGCUUGGUCGAGAACAUGCCGGUAGCCGAGGCCCUGGCUAGUGGUCACGUCCUGUCACUGAGCUCCAACAUUCUCGCCCAUCUCUUCCGCUGCCUGGCCGAGGUGACCCUUCACAAGAUCGACCCACACCAGAAUGGUCCCCUCUGGGUCUUCCAACUCUGGUUACAAGUUUAUUUCGCCUCCCUUCGGCCGGCCAUAGCCGAUUUCUCGCCAACGGAGGUGCUUGGACCUCAGCUGGCCUCCCGACCGACACCCCCUCGCCAAGCCGAAGAGGUAUUUAGGUACCUCUUCGCCCUUGAUGACCUUUCCAACGACGAAUUCCUGAUAUGUCGUCGUCGGGACUAUCCUUCCUCCGUCAGGCUACCUACAUCCAUGUGGGGCGCGGUCGAAGAUGCCGACCUUCAUCAGUCCUGGGGGUCGUUCAUGCUUACUCGCGACCUUCCUCUCGGCUGCGAUGGGAAACGAGCGGGUUGGGAAGUAUACCAUCCUAACUUCCUUGCUCGACAGCUCGGCUAUCUCCAAGGCUGCCUGGUCCCCCUACUCUCCUCCCGGACCGUCCUAAGCCGUGGACAUGAACCCCGUUCCUCGGAGAAGGAAUGCAACACCGCCGCGAGGGAGUUCUAAGAGCAAUGCCAAAAAUUCCGCCUUUGACCGGCCACCCCAGAAACCCUUUGCACUGACACCUUCGGUGACUGGUGGGAAGAGUAUACCCAGGAGUUCUUUGGUGCUCCAGUCGAAGGUGUGCUGAACAAACUCUUCGGUGAACGGCCUAAGAAGGCCUCGGCCCCCCAAGCUCAAGGUAACUGUUCAUUUCUUCCCCGGUUUCUUCAACUUUGCAUAUUGAUUUGCCUUGCUGAAUUGCUUUUAUUUUCUCAGGUAGUCGGCCAUUGAGGAAGGUGGAGGUAGCUGCUGUGGCUACGGCCGAGAAAAAAUCGAUCGUGGCUAAGAAGGCUACGAUUGCUAGUCGGGCCGUGCUGAACAAACGGCCUUGCCAAGAGGCCGAGCCGGCUGUCGAACUUCUGCCGCCUGCCAAGCGGGUAAAGAAGUUGGCAAAGAAAGGCGCACGGGAGAUCCACGUCAUCUCCAGUCAAACUACGGGGGCGACGACUCCCAGUGUUUCCCCUUCUCUUGCCGUCGGCCAACCCUUGGUAGAGAAACAGCCAACUCCGGCCGCAGAGAUAGUUCAAGCGCGGCCUGUUUCUGGGGCCGGUACACCAGUUGUGCCCCCCUCUGUCGAGGAGGCACCUAUUCUGAAAAAGGCGGUCUUUGCGACCGAGGCAACUUCCCUUGAAAAUCCAAAGCCCUCGGUCUUUGUUCUGGAAGAGAGUGAGGGGAGCGACGAGGUCCCGCUGGUAGAUCGUCCUCAUACUCGCCGACAACCUCCUCCAAUGUCCGAGAUGGCGGUUCAAGCCGGCCCCUCCACGGCUGAUCGAGGCAAGCGUCCGGUCAAGGAACCAACAGCGGUGGCCGAACCCCCCGCUCCUUCUUAAGACCAGGAUGUCCUUCCCUCGUCCGAAGCAGCUGUCCCGGUCGGCCCCUCCACAGCCAACCGUGGCAAACGACCGGUCGAGGAACCAGAGGCAACAGCGGAAACGCCCGUUCAUCCUCAAGACCAGGGCUUCCACAUUCCUCCGCAGGAGGUUACUUCGGCCUUCGUAAGUACCCUCUACCGUUUUUCCUUGAUUGCUUUUCUGCUUUAGAAUUCUAAACGAGGAAAAUACUAAAUGUCAGGUGCCUGUACACUCUUUUCACCGAAAAUUCUAUGCGCCGAAGGGCGUUAUCUAUAUCUCUUGGCCGCCUCAGUGGCCAUCGAACGUAGAUAACCUCCAUUGGCCGCGUGAACUGAGAAGCAAUCUAAGACACUAGGCUGGGCCAUUGAGUUCUUUGGGUUCGAGCAACGAUCCUGGAGACAUGGCCGAGGUCUCCUCUCGGCAGGUUAAAAAAAACGCAACCUUCUUGCUAUCCUUGUCAUGACUUCUUUUGAGCUUAACCUAAUUUAUAUGUGCAGGCUUCGUGGGAGGUCGAAUUUAAAGCCCUCAUCUCCAGCACAAUUACCGGGUCUGGUCCUUCGGCCCCCACGACUGAAGCUGCCGAUUCAACCGCUCUGUCUCAGUUGCGAGAAGUCUUGUCGCUUUCAGCGUCGUAAGUACUCAAGCGCAAUGGUCUUGAUCUGCUUGGCGCAUGUCUGAACGACCUCGGAGCUGACGGUCGUCUGAGCGGAGAUGCUAUCGUUCGGGCAUCGUCGGCCUUGGAGCGGGUUCGGGAGACAUUUAGUGUCUUCCAGAUCGCUCUAAAGGCCGAACAAGACCUGCAAGCUGCCACGGCCGUCCAAGACACUCUCCGUCCGAAAAUCGACACCCUAAAGGCAAAAGGAGAAGCAUUGGCCGAGCUUGACCGUCAAAUGGCGGAACUAGCGAAACGUAGGUCGGCCAUUGCCUUCGAUUUUGCUAAGGACUUCGAGUCGGGCGGAAAAGAUUGCCUGACCGAGUAUGCGGCGACCACAAAAUAGGUCGAGCGGUUGAAGCUGGAUAAGAAGAAUCGGCAAGCUAAGGUCAUCAUGGGCGAGGUGCGGUGGUUGGAGUUGAAGGCCCUGCUCGGCACUCUUCUACCCUCUUCCCCUUGAAUGUACUUGAAUGUAAACCGAUCGACUUGCUCAUUUUGUAUAUGCUUAUCAAUCUUAAUGAAAUGGUUUUCUAUUCCCGCAUUUCCCACGUGACCGGGUAGUAUUUUUUUAAAAACUUCCCGUUUAUUGGUAAUCUGUGAACCAAACCGGUCCGGUCUUUAAGAUGAUACGCCCCUUUUCCGUAUACUUUAUGUAUAACGAACGGUCCUUCCCAAUUUGGCGACCACUUGCCGAACCUAGGAUCUUUUAGUCCUACGGGUAACACCAUUUGCCAAACCAAUUCACCUUCACCGAAUGUUUUCCGUCGCACCUUUUGAUUAUAUGCUCGCUCGGCAAUCUGUUUUUGUGCCACCAGUAAGUUAUAAGCGUCAAGUCGCACUUCUUCCAAAUCUUCUAAUUCUUGUCUCAUGGACUGAUUAUAUUCGGCGCUAAACAAACUACUUUGUUCAAUCAAUUGCAACGAAUUUAUACUUAACUCGACUGGCAACAUUGCAUCGUGUCCGUAUGUUAAUGCGUAUGGGGUUGUUGCAGUCGCCGAUCGGGGCGACGUUCGGUAUGCCCAUAAUGCCUCAUUCAACUUGAAAUGCCACAUGUCAGGCCUUUAUUUUAUUAUUUUCGAGGAUGCCGAUCAACACUUUAUUACUUGCCUCGGCCUGCCCAUUUGCCUGUGGAUAAUACGGUGUGGACUGUUCCAGCCAAAUUUUCAAAUUUGCCGUGUACUCUUUAAACCUUUCGGUUGUGAAGAUUGUUCUAUUAUCGGUUAUGAUCGUUUUCGGUACGCCAAAUCGGGUCACAAUGUGUUCCUCCACGAAGUCGCAAACUUCUUUAGAUGUUAACUCGGCAUAUGAUUUUGCUUCGACCCACUUAGUAAAGUAAUCAGUUGCGACUAUUAUCCAUGCAUGCUUAGCAGCUCCAGAAGAUGGCGUGAUUUUGCCGAUUACGUCCAUGGCCCAUCCUCUAAACGGCCAUGGCUUAAUGACCGAAUGCAGUGAUUCGGCCGGGACCCUUUGUAUAGGCCCGUGGAUUUGGCACUGUACGCAUCCUCGUGCAAACUCGAUACAAUCCUUUAGUAUUCUCGGCCAAAAAUAGCCGUGCCGUUGAAGUAACCAUUGCAUUUUCCGUCCGGAUUGAUGAGCUCCGCAUACCCCUUCAUGGACUUCUGUAAUCGCCCGAGCACUCUCUUGGGGGCCGAGGCAUAGCAGUAACAAACCAUCUUCGCCUUUUCGGUAUAACUCGUUCUGGUACGUGACAUAGUUCGUGGCGUGAACUCGUGUCCUGCGACUAUGUUUCCCAUUAGGAUUAUCAAGGUACUGCAUAAUGGGUGUUCUCCAAUCAUCUGGUAUUACCUCGGCCGUACAAAUUUCUAUAGAAUCCUGCCGAUCCAACAUGGAAGGUAAGGACAUGACCCUGGUGCGUAUCACGUCGUCGCGUCGGAGGAUUUGCUGGUUAACCAAGGUCGGGUAUAACUGUCGUAACACCGGUAUCUUCCGGCCUAGCUUGCCCCCCAGGAGUUGUACGCCGGAGGCAAUUUGAGCCAAUUCGUUGCGUCGGUAUUAUGACACCGGGAAAUAUAUUUAAAUGUAAUACCGUCGAAGGAUUCGGCUAAAUAGCUGGCGACCAUGUUGUAAGGUGCCAGGGUACAACUCAUGCAACGAAAAGAACCAUUAAGUUGGUUAAUCACAAGUUCAGAGUCGCCGAGGACGAGGGCGCGGGUCGCUCGCAAGUCAUGAAGGAUUCCAAGGCCGACGAUUAGGGCUUCGUAUUCAGCCUGAUUGUUGGUGCAUUCGAAAUCUAACUUAAGCGAAAAUAACCAGCGAUCGUGGUUUGGGGAUUGAAUGACAAUUCCCACGCCCGCCGAAGAUGACGUACUGGAGCCGUCAAAGUACAUCGUCCAGUAGUUGUCGCGCGUCUGAACCAUGCCGAUUUCAACGUCGUUGCCCCCAAAACCGUAUGGGGAGGGAUGUUGAGCAAGGAAAUCAGCCAGUGCCUGGCCCUUGACAGCUUUCUGGGCUACGUACUGUAAGCUAAAUUCGGACAGUGCCAUUGUCCAUUUCCCAAUGCGGCCCUUUACGAUUGGUCGGGUGAGCAUGUAGCGGAUGACGUCGGUCUGAGCAAUGACUUGGGUGACCGAUGGGAGCAUAUAAUGCCGAAGCUUGGAAGCGGCGAAAAAUACGGCCAGGCACAGCUUCUCGACGGCGGGAUAAUUGAUCUCUGGUUGAUUGAGAUUGUGACUUAGAUAAAAAAUAGCCUGCUCUCGUCCGGCGUCGUUGUCUUGUGCGAGGAGGCAGCCGAUGGACUCUUCGGUCGCCGAGAUAUAGAGCUUAAGAGGCUUACCGCGCCGAGGAGGAACCAGGACAGGUGGUUGCGUGAGGGAGACCUUGAUUUAUGUAAACGUUGCCUGAUGCUUGUCAGUCCACUCAAACUUAUCUGAGUCCUUAAGCUUCAAAAGCGUCGAAAACGCUUUCAUUUUCCCUGUCGAGUUAGCUAUAAAUCGGCGGAGAAAAUUUAUCUUGCCGAGUAAGGACUGCAGUUGUUUCUUCGUCGUGGGGGGUGGAGCACUGAUGAUUGCACGUGCUUUAUUUUCAUCCACUUCAAUCCCACAGUGAUGUACCAGGAAACCGAGAAGGAGAUUACCGGCCGACACACCGAAAGCACAUUUGGUAGGAUUCAUUUUGAGGUUGUGUUGGCGCAUACGAAGGAAAGCAUGUCGGAGAUCAUCCAGAUGGGUCCGCCGUUGCUUGGAUUUAAUUACAACAUCGUCGAUAUAGACUUCGACGAUGGUUCCAAUUAAAUCAUGAAAUAUGGUGUUCAUUGCCCGUUGGUAUGUGGCGCCGGCAUUCUCAAGGCCGAAUGGCAUAACAACCCAUUCGUAAGUGCCGAGUGCCCCCGGGCAACGGAAAGCAGUUUUGUGUACAUCGGCUUCGGCAAUGAAAAUUUGGUUGUACCCAGCAUGUCCAUCCAUAAAGGAUAAGAUCGCAUGAUUCGCCGCGGCAUCGAUUAACAGAUCUGAAAUCGGCAUUGUAUACUCAUCUUUUGGAGUUGCCAAAUUCAGAUUUCUGAAAUCGAUACAGAUGCGCAGUGCACCAUUUUUCUUCAAGACAGGAACAAUAUUUGCCAACCAUUCCACAUAUCGAGCUGUCCGAAUGAACCCGGCUUUCAAAAGCCGAACCAGUUCGUCCUUGAUGCCGAGUUGUACUUCGGUCGAGAAUCGACGAGGUGGUUGACGGAAAGGUUUACACCCGGGCUUAAUACGUAAUUCAUGCUCGACAAGAGUACGAUCUAAGCCGGGCAUUUCAUGCUAGCUCCAAGCAAAACAAUCUUUGAACUCCGUAAGCAAUGCACGAAGCUCGUCCUUCAUUUGUUGAGGAAGUAAAGCACUAAUAAACAAAGGCCGUGGGUCAUCGGCCGUCCCAACAUUAAUCUCUUCCAGAGGGUCCUUAACUUGGGGCCGAUGAUCUUCGAGCUCGGCCGGAGUGGCUUGAAUUUUGUCAAGAGAUAAAACAGGACCAUUAUCUCAUUCGGCAAGGAACUCGACGAGGUUAACGCCCGAAUUCGGUUGUUUAGAUAUCGUAUACCAAUGGGCCAGCAGUCGUUCCAUAGUAGAUGAAACCGCGGCCCUACGGUCUUCCCGAUCGGUGUCAAACAUCGGCUUCGGGGAGGAAGUUGGCUAAUCCGAGUCUCAGUGGCCAUCGAACAGUGACCGGGUGAACAGUGCUUGGAUCAUACCGUGCUUGGAUCAUGGUAGCUUCGAAGGCUGGCUAUCGGCCGGGUGAACAGUGACCGAGUUGCCGUCCCAAAAGACAAGCACUUGAUACAAUGAGGAAGGAAUACAGCUGGUCUGAUGAAUCCAAUCUCGACCGAGCAAUGCAUUAUACUCGGUUUUGGAAUCAACCACGAAAAAUGCGGUCAUGUGAGUGCGACCGGCAAUAUUCACAGUUAACGGAAGUACGCCUUUGGUUUGGGAUUUGUCGCCGACGAAACUACUCAUUGUGAUCCCUGACGGAAUAAGUUCGUCAUUCGAGCGACGUAAGGCCUUCAUGAUAUUCAGAGGCAUGAUAUUGACGGUAGCUCCACAGUCGACAAAAACUUUAGAAACUGGAUAUCCCUCGAUGUGGGCCGUCACAUACAACGGCUUUAAAUGGUGAAGGUUGGCUGGUGAUGAACGAGGAAACAAUUCAACCAAAACGGCCUUUAGACUAUCAUCUUUUGUUGUCGACUCACAUUCAACGACAGAUACAAAAUCAACAUGGCCGGCUUCUUCGGCGACUACAUCACCAUCGAGGAAAUUCGGUUGAGCCGUGCUUGAUUGAAAAUCAGCGGGUAACACAUGAACCAUACUGAUUUCCAUGUUAUCCAGGACUGACGGGCCCAUCGGGUUAGGAUCUUCCUCGCUAGCCUCAUUUCUCGGCUGGUCGGCAACUGCGAACUCCGUUGUUGUCAAAGUUGGACAACGAGACUCUUCGAUUCCUUCUCCGAUGGUUUGAUCCUGCGGUGCUGCUUCGGCAACUUGUUGGUUCUGCGUGACUGCCUCAGGUGAGGUUGAUAUCGACAGUGUGCUUGGGGUCAGAACCUGGACCUGUUCCUGGUAGUGUAACCGGGCAUCCCUAAUGUCGAGAUAAGCAUCCAAACGCGCAACACGUGCUAUUUCAUCGGUCAUAAGGCCGAAGAGCAAAACAGCCGAAAAUACUUCGAAGUGAUAUCGUAAAUACUGAAGGUCCUCCAUUGAGAAAGGAAGGUCGGCUGCAUCGAUAUCAGUGUAUGGGUCGACUUCAAAUCCAAGGACACGAGCUUUUCGUAUGUGCUGGAACCUUGCUUUCAAUCCUGGGUCCGAGGUUUUCUGGAUGAUUCGCUCGGCAUCAGGACAAGUCAGGACUAGAUCAAUGGUGUCCUAGCAUGCCUUCGACAAACCAUACAGAUCGUUGGCCGAAUGUUUCUUAUGAAAUUCGCGCAUAUAUUCCAAAGACUCCCCAAGGAACGGGGGAUGCAAAUUCCGUCGAAUUUUGAUCAAAGGUUCUUGUAUAGCCGGCGGGGCUAAUUUGCUUUCGACCUCUUGCCUGAAAUGUUCAAGGCGUGCUUUCAUCUCCCCUGGUCGAAGAAGAAGUUUGAUCCGUUUAUCAGCCUCUUCAAACGUGGUUUCGACAUCUUGAUCGACCAGCUGUUUCCCUUGAGCCAACUCUGUCAUAAUGGCUAGAGGUGGUCGUUCAUCAUCAGUAGCAAUUGUGUCCUUCGGCCUCCAUUUAGGGACCGAAGUUUCUUGGGCUGCCUGUCAGCGGGCCAUGCAAUCUAUCCUUUGGUGCCGGCGUUUCUGGGAUUUGGACAGUACGGUGUAGACGCCUUUCGAAGAAUGAUACGUAUACCAACGUUGAUCUUUAGGCUUAGGAGAUUUGAAGGUUUUUUGGCUCCGCGAUGAUUCCGAACUGCUAGAAUUACGUUUAUAGUAGUCAUCGUCAUAGAAUGAAGCAUCAAAAUCGAGGCGCCGCCUGACUGAGGGUGUUUCUUCCAUCCGCACUUUAGGACUGAGCCUAUCAAAAACCCCUUGAUGUUGGCCUACGUUGGCUACCUUUUGCCGGGUUGCGGCCAUAGGUCGUUCUGUUAUAAGCGAAGAGGGCUUCUCCUCUGGCUCACUGUCGACUUUUGCCUUACAUUUACUGCACAAAACCGUUGUCCCACUGUCUUCAUCGGUGCUAUAAUCCAUCAUAGGUUUGACAAUAGCGGGUCAUGUUAAAGCUGUAGGUGGUUUGUUUGAAUGAAAAUCGGCCAUGAACCGUGGUCGAGAAUUCUGAUUCAGCAAGCGUUGCGUCGCAACAACUUCGGCCUUUCCUUUCCCUUUGUCCUUAGGUAGGCACGCAUCGACCAUAUUUACUGUUGCCGUGGGGAACGGGUCAGUAUCAACACUCAUCUUCUUCUCUGGAAAUUUCAGUUUGCCAUUAUCAAUCCAGCUUUGGAUGUUGUCGCGAAACACUACGCAAUUGUUUGUCGUAUGUUUGCUUGAAUUGUGGUAUUUGCAAUAUACCUUUCCUUUAAGCUCUUCGGCCUUGGGAAUGUUGUGACCAGGCCGAAGCUUGAUGAUUCUUGCUGAUAACAGUUGGUCAAAAAUUGCAUCAGCCUUGGUAAUAUUAAAAGUAUAAACUUUUGACGGUUUCAAUGUUCCUUCAGUGGCCGAGCGGCUUUUGACUUCUCUAGAGUCGACUUGAGUUAAUGUCUUGCAAACGUAUGGCUUAUCUAUCACUAUCUCAGCGGCAUCCACACUAACGCAUUCAUCCUCGGUUGAUGCAUAACUGACAGUAGGAUUCUUGUAAAUCGUCACCCGAGUUGGAGCUUUCGAAACCUUUUCCUCGCGGAGCAAAUAAUCAUAUUGUUCGACAUGUUGAGCUAAUUCGUACAUAUCCCGAAAGUUUGCCCCCAAAAAUUUCUUUUUGUACUCAACGUCGAGGCCGUUCAAAGCAAGCUUGACAAAUUCAACUUCAGGUAAAGGCACUCGGCACCAAUUCCUGGCUGAUUUGAACCUAGUAAGAUAAUCCAUGGGUGACUCAUUAGAUGCUUGAGCCAUCCUUGCUAAUGAAGAAACUGACAUCUCCAUCCCUGGCCGAUAAAACUGCUCGUGGAAUUUCUCGACCAACUCCUCCCAGUUUUGGACGGAAUUAGGAGGGAGAUUGAUAUACCAGGCAAAUGCUGAUCCGGUCAAUGAGAAAUUGAACACCCGUAACUUAUGGAAAUCACUAUUAACAUCCCCGCAUUGCGGUGAAACGAGCCACAUGCUCCAACAAAGACAGGGAUGAUUCACCGGUAAAAAGGCUGAAAUCUGGGAUCUUGAAACCCUUCGGGUAUCCGAAUGUUUCCACGUAAGCUGGGUACGGAUGAAUAAACUUAGGAAACUUCGGCCCUUUCUUCAUGGCCGAGUCGAUCAUCCGCUGAACUUCGAUCAUAUCCACAGGUGUUGCUUCGACCCUCUGGUCGGUUCCGUCUGACCUACUAUUCGACCCUCCUCCUUUUUCCAAGUCAAUUGGUUUGAGCCGAGCAGGAAUAGGCUCGGUCGGUACAAUUGGUAACGGAUUGUUUCCUGGUGGUAAGUGCUGAAGAAGAUCGAAAGGCCUGCUGUCACUGACUUUACUAACCAGCAUUUCGAGCAAUAUGGUUUGUCGCUCAUUGGAACUGAGUAUCACGUCAUGCAGCUUGUCAAUGCCUUGGCUAAACGUCUGCUCGACUGACCGAGACUGCUCGUCCAGUCGCUUUCGAAGAAACGACCUUGUUGGUGGGUCAGAUCCUUCACCACCAUCCUCGUCACACUCCUCUACUAUCCUUUCAUUGAGAACGCAGGUGUUUCUGUUAGGGAUUUCUAGACCGCGGAGCUGACCGCUGAGAUUAACUUCUCUAUCUUGGCGAUUUGCGCUUGUGAACUCAGGUGUCACGGCACUAAGGGGAUUCUGCGCCUGUGGUACACUUUGUCCUAUGCUCUGAUUUGGCAAAUCGGCUGUCAACUUUUCCAUAGCUGUUUUCUUUUUUACCGAUCGUGUUUCAAUUGGCAUGAACUUCGUAGUUUAGCACUGGGUCCCACUGGGCGUGCCAAAAUGUUGACCCUAGAAACUACCAAGCCUACAUGGCGCGCAGGCCGAGUAAUCUAUAAGCUAACUACGUCCUUCGGUGAAUGCGGGGCGUGCCAACUCGUCGGCCGAGCUUGGCCGAGGAGUACAUUUUGUUGCUGUUGCGUUGGGUGCACGGCUGACUUCUGCAUCUUGCGAUUGCGGCCGAGAAAGGAACACGUCUCGGCCUCUUGGGCUCUCGAACCUGAAGACAAGGUUACUAUUCUUACGAAGUUCAAUAUCAAAUUCGGCUUUCAAUGUGCCGAAUGUAAUAACUGUAACACCUCACUUUGCAGAGAAGGCUGAUGAGAUGACCUCGACCAAUAAGGAUUUAGAAACCCUUCUCGACCGAGACUUGGAUAGGUAAUCAACCGUUCUCGCCGCAGUGCUGUUGAUGCCAACGGAAGAUACUGCGAGAGCGACUAAUUCUACGGUGACAGAGCUAUCUAUGCCGAUUUAAGAUAUCACCGGUUGCUUCCACAAUGCUGUUGAUGCCAACGGAAGAUGUGUCAGCAAAAAAGAAAAAGGAAAAAGAUCUCAAGUUGUUGAGAGUUUGCGCAGGGCAAUUUUGUAUUGAUUUGCAGAGGGCCUAUCUGACGCACAACUUCCCCUAUUUAUAGCAUUGGAUCUUGAAUCCGAGUUAAAAUCCUACUCGGACUAGGUCUUCCUCUCCGGAUCAACACCACCUCGACCAGUCCUAUCUUCACUAGGAUUGUGACCCUAGUCCUUAACUGAGCCAGAUUCGCUUUCUGGGUUACUGAUCCCGCCGAGACUCCCUAUUGUAAUAGGACUCGACUUGCGUUAUGAUCUAACCGACCUAGGCUUGGAAGCCCACGAGCUGAACGAUCCAUGGCCCUCUCGCCGCACGGCCUCCCGGGCCGAGAAUGAUCCUACCCUCGGUCCAAACUAUUAUUUUGGGCCCAAACAACUCCUCACAAGUGUAUUUUUCUUUCCAAAUCUAAAAAGUUUGGAGUAUAUAAUGAGAUUUUUGGACUGCGAAUAACAAUUUCCUUUCGAAAUAGGUACACUAACAGUGGUACACAUUUUGAGUGUAUCAAGCGGGUUUGUAUAUCAUAUUUAGCAUGGGUACAAUUGUUGUCAUAUGUUGCGUAAGCAAGCAUUAACAAUUCAAAUUCAAAAGCCUUUGAGAUAAUACUUCCAGAUUUCAAGGAUAACAACAAAAUAAAAAGGAUAAUGACAAUUGUUAAUGGAAUUGAAAUGCUAAUUCAGAAGGAAAAGAUCUGAUGGAAAAUGACUAAAUUCUCAACGCUUGAAAUAAUGGCAGUGCUUAUAAAUUUUAGAAAAAUGAAAUCAUUUUUUGUAAUCUACUUGGCUCCUCAUAGGGGAAGCAGUUCAAUUUAAAACGCAAAACCUAUAGAUGUUUAAUCAAACAAGUUGGGGGGGGGGGGGGGGGGGGAGGGUGAGGCACUGAUAUCAAAAGCUUCCAAUUGAAAAUUUAGGAGGGAAUGAGAACAUAUGAUUUUUGUCAUAUAUUAUUGGUGGUGUGUAAAAGAAAUAAUGUAGCUCACCAUGGUGCAGGUUACUGUUAAAUAACUACUUAAUUCGCUUAGUCCCUAACAACUGAUAAUAAUAGCGAAAAACACUUUUAAAAAAAAUCAAAUUAUAGAAAAAAAUUUCUCGACUAAUGUCAAUAAUAGUCGAGUGCAGCAAUAUAUAGGUCCUAGGUUUUUCUCUUGAAAACAAGGCUAUUAAAGGAGCCUAUUUAUGAAAACUCCGGCCUCAUUUUGUGUAUAGGGUUCACUCAGAUUGGAUAACUCGCUAGAAUGUUGAAUGAAGAAGUGGAUACGCCCUUGCAUAGUUUGUCCAAGUAAAGGUAGAAGAUGAAUUAGUUGUGACGAAAACUUAUCCCUCCAAAUUCCCUUAAAAUGAUAGGAUGAAAUAGACAAGUUAUUUUCAUGACUAGUUCAUCUUUUACCGGACAAAACAUUCACUUCUUCAUCCAUCAUUCAUUAAAUCCAGUGAACUAUUCAAUCCAAGCGAAUCCUACCCAUCAAACAAGGCACAUUGUCCUAUAAUUCGUUUUAUAUUCCCCCUUCUCAUCAUGUGUGUUGCCAGGUAUAAGUGUUUCAUUUGGCUUUUGGAGUCAACAUUGUACCAUGACUUUUAAAACAUACUAUGUAGAAUUAGUCAAACACUGGAUGGAUCAUGGAAAUGUUAGGUUCCAAACUUAAUCAUGUUUUGUACGAACAUGAAUCUGGUGCCUCGCCACUAAGAUUUCUGCAGUGCGACCCCUCCCAUACGGCAACCUAUCUUGGCUUCUUUCCAAGUUCCUACCCGUCAAACAUUAAUUCAUGACUUGAAUUUUCUCACAGAUAUUUUUUUUCUUUCUCAGCCAGCAGAAGUUUCAAAGAUAUCCUUUUCCUAUCACGCUAUCACCCCUCUGUGUUCACAACUUUUACCACUUUCUAGGUCAAGUAAUUAGUCAAUCUCUAAUGGAGUGUUCCCCCUUCAAUAAGUUAGAUAAAUGGUUUAUGGUUGGUCCAACUACUCGAGCACCUAUGACAUACGAGCAUUGUCUGAACUCAUUUAUUCAGACAAACGUUCGUAUGUCGGACCUACUCGGGGAUUAUACAGGCUUAGCUGCCCUCGUAGUUCAGUGUUACUAUCGCCUUGAUGUGAAAAUUACUUGACACAUAAAUUAAACCCUAUUGAUGACAAUUGUAGCAAAGAUGUAAGUAUGGCUCAUGUCUUUCUUUAAAAAUAAAACGUAUUUCAUUUUACGUGUGCAGAUUUUCCUCAAGUUAUCGAGGACUUAACUCAACCACCAUUGUCACAAGCUCAAUAAAUUAUGAAGAAUCAUUCAAUGAAUUCUCUACAUAAUUGUCUAGUCAGGUUGAUGAAAAUAGGUAUUGCCUAAAUGGUCUUAGCAGCGAAUUCUUAUUUCAAGAAGAUAGUAGUGCUUUGUAUCAUGGUAAGCCUCAAUAUUAUUAUGAUGUACCCAUACAAACUAAAGAGUGUGAAUAUGAUGGUGAGCAAAAAUAUGAUACGGACAAUUACCUUUAUGAGGAAAGUGAUAAUGAUGAUGACAUUGGUGAUUCUGAUACAGACAAUUUCUUAUAUGAUGAGGAUAAUGAUGCAAUGCUUGAAGAUGACAAUUUCAGUGACAAUGUAGAUACAUAGAGUUUCAUUGGAUGCAGUAGGAAACAAAAAACAAAAUAAUAAAAAAACAAUUGGGAAGAUAUACAGGUUGAGAAUUUGAACAUGCAUGAGAAGCAAUAUAACUCAGAUGAGUUACAUUCGCCACUAAAUCUGAUGAAGAAGGACAUGAUCGUAGAUGCAAAGAGUUUAAUGUUAACUGAUAUGGAAAACCCACAAUUUGAUAUUGGGAUGAAAUUUCUAAGUAAAAAGGUGUUAAAGCAGGCUAGACAUAAAUAUGAAGUCGUAAGGUCAUAUAAGUGUAAGGUAAGGAAGAAUGAUAGGAUUAGGUUGUCUGCUAAAUGCAAGCAAGGUUGCAGCUGGAAGUUGUUUGCUUCUGUGAUGCAGGGUGAAAGUACUUUUCAAAACAAGAGCUACAUUCCUGGUCAUUCAUGUUCAAAAGGUUUCUCUAGUAAAAACAUAACUUUAACUUUUCUUUCUGAAAGAUACAUGGGUAGGAUUAAAGAUGAUCCUAAGAUUAAGAAGGCAAACGCUUCAGUUAGAGAUAUUCAGAGACUUGGGAUAUGAAGUCUCAACAAAUCAAAGUUACAAAGCUAAGAGGAAGGCUCUAACUUUGAUUGAGGGGGCUUAUGCUCAACAAUAUGAAAGCUAUGGGAGUAUAGUGAAGAGGUUAGAAAGACAAAUAUAGGCAGCACUAUGAUGAUGAAGGUGGAUCCUCCUUAUUUCCAAAGACAUAAUGUGUGCUUGGAUGCAUGCAAAUAGGGGUUUGUACAUGGUUGCAGACCUUUGAUAGGUGUUGAUGGUUGCUACCAUAAGGGAACAUUCCACGGUAAAGAAUUAAUUUGUAGUUUUAUUUGACAUCAACUCAUGCAGAAGUGGUAUUAAUUUAAUAUAACGUCCAUAUAUGAUAUGUCUAUGCGUGCAUAUUAAUUCAAUACCUUGGCAAGGCAGUUACUUGUGGUAGUGGGAAUUGAUGCAAAUGAAAAUAUGUAUAGGUUCAGUUCGAUGAUCAAGUGUGAUAUGUUGCUGAACAGCUUGUGUGAAAUGGCGGUCAAAUUGCUGCAGUAAAAGCAGCGGAGAAAUGCCUGCUCAUUUACGAUAAAUAUUUCUUAAACCAGACACCAAUGUUAAGAAAGCUCUCAAAGUCGGAUUGUGGCCUGCAAACACGAAUUUUGAAAUCUCAGAUUGCAUUCCAAGCAUGAAAUUUUAUGACUUUGGUUGUACCAAGUGACUAGUGACUACAAUGCACAAGCACAUCUGGAUCACUCCUUACCUGUCAAUUGCAUGAUUAUCGUGAGGAAACACAAUGACUUUGACAGGAACUCCUUUUUCCUUCAGAGCGCGAGAAUACUGUGUAAAGAACAAUAAACAUAUCCAAAUCAUUUUCUACUCACGCCAUUGCAAUUACGCAACCAUUAAAGUAGAAUUGAAGUGCUCAAUGUGUAGUUCAUGAGGACACGAACGUGUUAUCUUACUUGCAACCAAUAGAAAUCGGAAGACGAAUAUCCUGAGCACCCAAAAGAAAGAGGGUGGGUGUUUUGACCUGCAGAGAACAUACGAGCUUGACGAUAGUCCAGAAUAGGCUCACUAAAAUAACAGAAAACAAGCCUAAACAAAAGUUACAAAACACAAACCUUUGAGACAUGUGAAAUAGGAGACAUUCUGUGAAAGAGAGUCAGAUGCUCAGCUGACGGCGCUUCUGUGAAGCUGUUUUUACCCUCACUCCCGUAGGCCUCAACAUAGCACCAAUCGGGAAUGUCUGUUGUACCCACCAUUAGCGCGAGGUUGCAAGCAGGAUUCCUUGUUGCUGCCACAACAAACUUCUCUGGUUCCUGCAGCAUUUCAAUUACAAGAUUAUCGGAUUCAUAAGUACACCUAAAAUCGUGUAUGUUCAUGUAUGCAUAAAUGGGAAAAUUAUCGUCCUUUUUGCAAACUUAACACACCUGGCCAAUCAAGUGGGUUGUGAGAAAGCCACCGUGAGAACCACCAAGAACUGCAACUUUUGACGGACUGGCAAGCCCCACGUCAAUGACAUGGUCUACAGCCGCCAGUACAUCCUUCAAGUCCUGUAGAGAAGAUACUAAUGGAUCAGGGUCUCCGAAUACAAAUCCACACAUUUAAAGUAAAUACCAUCUAAAGUAAAUGCUUAACAAACAUUGUGCAUAUACAGACACAUAAUAUGUAUAUAAUAAUAUUACCUGGGACCCAAUUUUUCCGGGAAGAGACUGAAGUGCUUCUUCACCAAACCCCAGUGAACCUCUGAGAUAAACUCGCAUGUCAGAUCAAUGGAAGCCAAAAGCUGAUUAUAUGAAGCUAAUAUUGAAAAGAGGCAAUUUUUGAAGCAGGGGAUGAUAAAAUGUAAUUUAGCCGAAAAAAUCAGAAUGAAAGGAAAACGGAGAAACACAACUUUCCUGUAAUUUACAAUUAACAAGCUGAAACCAAUCGAAGAGAGAAAUGCUAAGGACUUUGAAAAGCUUGACAAUGAAACAAUAUGUGGGCCUCCAUGAAAGAAUACAAUUAACGGGUUAAGUGCAUCAUUUCUUUUAGUUUUGGAAGACACAAAUAUAGCUUCAAUAGGAUUGGUGGCACCUGAAAGGUUUUAAUCAUAUACAGGAUGUCAAAAUCAAUGAUUUUCCAAGACAUAAGAAAGAAAACUGACUUGUGAUACCUUUUGUUGGGCUAUCAGAAACAUCCCUGAUCGGAAUCUUCAUUAUACUGAACCGAAGAGAUGAGAGCAAAGAUUUAACCUGUAGCAAGGCGAAACUUGAGUAAAACAAAAGUAAGUUUUUAAGAUAAUCACAGUAAUAACACAGUACUACAGACCUUCUUAGGACAUUCAUCUGUGGGGCUUGCUACGUUUAACCGACUCCAUGCAGCAUUUUUACUUUCUUUAUCAAUAAGAUAACCGUACUUGAUAUGGGGUACAUCUACUGGACUGCUAGACACUUCCGAAAUCAAACAAGAAGUGAAUUUUAUUAUUGUAAUUCAGUAAAUUUGUCCAACAAGUUAUCAGUAAAAAAAAGGGAGUUUAUAUUACCGGCAAUGAUAUUGUCUCCGUCCAGUGUAAGAACGCUCCAUGAAAAACUAGAAUUAGGACUGAUUCGUAAUACUUCCCCGCUGUAAUUUCAUAUAAUUGUAUCAUGAUUUAAUUAUAAUAACAAGGUAACAAGAGCACGUCAUAUGAUGAAACCCUAUAGUUACCUCAACACAUUCACAGAAAGUAUCACUUGACAGCUACACCAGAUGGAAGAUAUGAUCAGAACUAUCAGAACUAUCCCCAUUCUGAUGUCCAUUCUGAUGUCCAUCAAACUUGUGUUUAUCAAGGUAUCAAUUUCAGAUGAAAAAGACGUUUAUACUCACUUAACGACUGUUUAACAAAUUACCCUAUAUUCACUAACAAAUAUAAAAACAUGGGCUAAAUUGAAAACACAGUACCAAAUAUAGCAUUAAAGCCAAAACAAUAUUAAUAGUAAUACGUAAUAGUUCAGUUGAAGUUGCAUUAUUGAUUUCAAUAAUCAUAAAUUUUCAAGUACAAUAAUUUUUCAUCCAGAUUACAUAUGCUGAGCAAACGCAAGCCGGAUUCAAUAGUUUUUCAUCCAGAUUCAAGGUGGAUUCAACCUACUUGACUGUAAAUUGUAGAUUGAUUUACGAAAGCUCUCGAAGUCGAACUAUGGGGGUAAAAGCAGGGAAGAAAUGCCUGCUCAUUUACGGUAAAUACUUCUUGAACCAGACACCAAUGUUAAGAAAGCUCUCAAAGUCCGAUUGUGGCCUGCAAACACACAAAUUCGUAUAAGAUGAAAAUCCGAGCAUGAAACUUUAUGAUCUCGCUUGUAGUGACUGGUGACUACAAUGCACAAAGCACAUUUGGAUCAUAAGUUUACCUCUCAAUUCCAUGAGUAUCCUGUGGAAACACAAUGACUUUGACAGGAACUCCUUUUUCCUUAAGCGCCCGAGCAUACUAUGAAUAAUAAACAUCCAAAUCACUUUUCUACUCACAUAAUUCCAAUUAUGCAAACGUCUAUGAAUCAAAAUCAUCACACCCCCUUGGGAGGAAGGAAAACAAUUUAAAAGAUGAAAACUAUAAGAAUAAUUAUCCAAGCACUUGUUUCAUUGUUAAACUAUUAAGGAGAAAAGGUGUAUUUCAUUAGGAGAACAUGUUAACUUACUUGAAAUCCAGUAGAAACUGGAACACGAAGAUCCUGAGCACCCAAAAGAAAAAGGAUGGGUGUUUUGACCUGCAGAUAGAUCCUUCAAAAAGUUACAAAUAGCAAACUUCUUACUAUAUAAAAUCUUUUUAAAUUAUUGAAUUUCUUCGCAAAAAGGAAAUUUAUAGUAUAAGCUUCAAAAUCAAGAGUACGUAAAUAAUAUAGUAACAGAGAAAAAGCUUAAACAAGCACCUUUGAGACGUGUGAAAUAGGAGAUUUGCUGUGCAAGAGAGUCAGAUGCUCAGCAGAAGGUGCUUCUGUGUAGUUAUUUCUACCCUCACUUCCAUAGGCCUCCACAUAGCACCAAUCUGGGAUGUCUGUCGUACCGAUCAUUAAUGCGAGAUUACAGACGGGGUUCCUCGUUGCUGCCACAACAAACUUAUCUGGUGCCUG